rnacentral:lncRNA from 1 species
UGCAUGUUGCUUCUCUAACAACCUCAAUUAUUUGGAAAUCUUAGGACGAAGGGACCACUUUGUAUGACUACAUUGACGGCCAAUUUGCAUGCUUUUUGUUGUUGUUGUUGUUGUUGUUUAGGUUAAUUCUCUUUGCAAAUUAUUCGAUAUAUCCUAGUCAUACAAGGCUAGCUAGCUUUUUAUGAAAGAUAUCAAACGUGGGCAUUUGAAGGGGUUUGGAAAGUGACUGCUUUUGGUUGGUCCUCCCAUGUUUCUUCUUUCGUGUAAGCUAAUAACUUUUCUUCAUCGACCCUUAUUUUGGUCUCACCCUCAUUUGGUCUUAGGGUUCUUCUUUGAUGUAAGUGGAUUUUUCUUAACUCGUUUUCCUAUCAUCUCUAUUUUGGUCUUGUGCACCUUCCAAAAACAGUUAAAAAGUGUGAGAGAUGCUCUCUCUAAGUGUAAUUUCUUGCCUCUUAUUUGGUGUAGUUGGUUGCUUCACAUUCUUCGAAUCCACACACCCUCGAUUUCUUCUUGCAUCACAUGUGUUCAAAGAAUGUGAAGAAAUCAACUAACUUUUGACUUAGUGAUAUGUAUUUGUUCUGUUUGGGAAGAAAAAAAACCCUAAGUUUGAAUUCUUGAUUCUCCUUUUAUUACAUUUACACAGAAACAUCAUUUUUCAUAUGCAUAAAACUAAGAAAACUAACACAUAACAAUUUAGUUUUCUCAACGACAUCAACGGCUGAAAAUCAUGCGUAAUCACAAUAUUGAACUUUUAGAGCAUAUGAGAUAAUUGACUGGAUUGAAGAGCCCUAAAAAAUAAAGUUUGAAACGUGAACGGUUCCCAUCCCUAAACCUCUGCUAAUUGGAUUGAUUUACAUCAACAAUUUGAGAGAAAGGACAGAUGUCAUAGGAUUAGCUAUCAUUGUUUGAGAAAAAAAAGGGGUUGGUGAGAUGUUUAUCCUAUUGGGGUGUGAGAAUUAAUUUUGGUGAUAAUUAUGAAAAACGCCCUCAAGUUUACGUGGUAAAAUAAUACAAUAAUAGGCUUCAAAAUGAGGUCAUCUAUUACAUAAUUACGUGACAAAUCCUAGAUCAUUUGAGUGAAGACCCAUUUGUACCCACCAAAAAAGAAGAUCAUGGAUAAUGCUUUUCCACUUGAUUAGACAAAUAUAGUCAUCAUAUCAUGCUUGUCACUCACAAUUGAAUUAAUGGCGCUUCUCGUCAAACUUUUAACCCAGAAAGAUUCAAACCAACAAUCCUCUGUGUGCAUACAUGAAUGUAGCUCGAGUUGUAGAGUUUUAUAUACACCAACGGCUGAAAAUUAGCCAUAAUGAUACUAAAAGAGUUAAUGCGUAGACGUUGCGCCACCAUGACGAUGCCUUAUGCAAUCUUGGAGAGUCAAUAAAGUUAUGUGCAGAUUUAGGGCUGAUAACACGAAUGGCCCAGUCUCCAAUUACAAUUUUUAAUAUCUUCUUUUGGCGCAAGGAUAAUUCUUAAUCAUUUAACAACAUAUUAAUUAAGGGUGUGUUCUUUGUGUACAUAUUUUUGGUAGUAUAUAACUAACUCAUGGUAAAAAUUGCCACACGACCAAGACAAUUUUUAAUAUCUUCUUUUGGUCCAAGACAUAUUUUGUGUGCAUAAUCAAGUUAGCUUCUUCAAUUAGUUUCAAAAUAAUGAGUUUGUUCACUUGAGUCUAUAACUUUGACAAUUUUAAAUAAAAAUUUACUACAUCUCAAAAAGAAAAACAAUAGAUGAAAGUUUGUAAGUGAUAAGUGAUUUUUUUAAAAUUUUGGCAUUGCUUAUUUUGGGAGAUAAGUGAUUUUUAAAAAAAUUUAGGAAGCACAACCCGUUUGGUAAACUAUGAGAAAAUCACUUAUUGUUAAAAAUUGUUGUGAGAGAAAACUAUAAGGGAAAGCAGUUGAUGAGGUGCUUUCAUUUUCUGAUUAAGCGAGAAUCAGUUUCGAAGAGGCACUGAGUUUAAUGACUAUGCAGAAAUUAUUUUCUGAUUAUGCAGGAAUCAGUACCAACAACACUUUUAACAAAAAGUUUACCAAACGCCAAAUUGCUUUAUCUUACAGCUGAUUUCUCUUAUGGAAAAUCUGACAUCGAUUAUUUUCACAGCACAGCAAUGUCAAACUAACCCUAAAUCUUUGAUUAUUAUGAUGCUCCAUCACCUGUUGAAUGUUGACUGGCCAAGUUGUGAGACAAAGACAAAUAAUUAUGCACACACUAAAACAUAUAAAUAUAAGAAAAUGCUAAAGAGACACUAAUUAUUUUUUGGUUAAAAAAUAUUUAGGGGAAGGGCGGUUACCCAUAACAGGGCUAGGGCAUACAUACUAGGCUUUUUUGAGGACUUAUAGAGGGGGUCUUAACCUCUUUUUUAGUUUUUACAAAUUAUCUACUAAGAUGGAUUGUCGGUAGUGGAACUCAAACCUAGACCUUGAUAGAGAAGAGAAUGAUUCUUAGCAACUCAACUAACUCCCAUUGACAAAGAGAAACUAAUUAUUAAUUAACCAGUUGGUAAAUGAAAAUUUAAACAGGUAGGCAAUGGAACUCUAAUUUGGAGUAUGUAAGUAAAUGACAUGAUUUUAAAUAUAAAUAAUAGUUGUAAAGAAAUAAAUAUUAAGUACAUCUUCUAGAUGUGUAUAUAUAUAUAUAUAUAUAUAUAUAUAUGAUGUUAGGUCUCACAACAAACUAUGUUUAUUAACCUCCAAUAUUUUUUGAUAAUUUUUUUUUGAUUAAGUAAAACAAAGAAUUAAUAUUAAUUUUUGUCCACUGUAAGGGAUAGUGUGCCAGUGGUUUUAAGUGAUAUGUCCAUUACAUGACUAGUGUGAAAUGGCAGCCUUUACCUACUUCCAUACUUGUCUCCUACCUUUCGCUGAGAGCCACCUCACUACCACUAACUCAAAAACUUAAUUUACACUUGUUAAUCAUAAAUUAAUAUUUCUUUUGGCAUGUGAUGUCAAGUAUAGCUUACAGAAUUGACAUCUCUGAGAUUUUAUAAUCCCAAAUUCCCAAAAGACAUUCCAAAAUGUAUCUUACCACCUCAGCCUUUUCCAUUUUCUUUAAAUCUUAUUUUUAUUUGUUUAGAUUUGUCUCUACUACUCACAUCUCUAUCAAUGCUUAAGUGGAGUGGAAUGCCAGGUCAAUGGGACGCAUCCAACAUUUGUUUAUUCAUAUUUUUGUGUUGAUAAGAUCCAAAAAUAUUAUUAACUUCUUGUUUUGAUUCAAAAGAUCCAGAAUACUGUUAGGCAACCAACUAUCAUCCAUCGAUAAAGUAAUUGCUAUAUGGUUAGACCAAUAACAAUAUGCUUAAUUAAUCGUUUUUGUUAAGCAUAACAAUGUGAUCAAUUAAUAUAAUGCCAACAUUCACCAGCAUUUGUUAUACAUAACAGUAUUUUCAAUGUUUGCAUGCAGGCUGACGCACAUUCACUUGCUACAUGUCUUACCAUGUUUGGUUUAAACAGCUUUGUGAAAUACAUUAUACAAAUACAUCGACGACUAACAAUCAUGUAUGUGCGUUUCGUCAUCUGUUUUCAAACUUGAUAUAGUACAUUGUGCUAGCCCAUCUUCAUCAAUUCUUUUCCACUUUUCUCUUUUCCUUGAUCACGGUCUACAAGAAAUCUCACCCAAAAAAAUUAUGUAAAACCAAACAAUUAUUUGGGUGCUAGCUAGCUAGCAAUGAAAAGCAGAGAAAUGUGAAUAAGUUUUGUAUACCUAUUUAGGCAUUGCCUUUUUACUUGGACCAUGCUUUGGUAUACAGAUUGGGUAUUAGUUUUGUUUGUUUUCUUAUAGGUUGCUCAAGAUUUCCACAAUCCUGUGAAGUGAACAUGGAUGUCUACUCACGAAUCUCUCUCUCUCUCUCUCUCGCAGAGUCAUAAUCCUUACCCCCACACAUAUGGUCCACGUUAUGGCAAGAGUAUCGUAAUUAAGCAGAAAACAAAGGGGAAAAAAAAGAAAGCUGCAGAUGGGGCAGUGCAGUGCCUGGUUUUGUAACAGUGUGGAGGGUUUGAAGUUAUUAAGCCAAGGAUUAUUUUGUAGCUUAAUCCCAGAAAAAAAGAAGAAAACUAUUAAUUAUCUGUCCGUCUGUUUUAAGACUUGAGAAGCAUCUAGCUUACUUAGCAUAGGGAAGUGCACUUGGAAAGAGACUUGGGAGCAAACUUGAUGGGAAGUUGAAGUGGGUCUAGUAAAAUCGACAAUAAGUGCAAUCAUGAAGUUUUUAUACAUUAAUCUCGACCUACUUUGACAGCAAGAAAGAAAUGAAAAGGGUCCUUCAGAUUUUCAUAAAUAAAAUGGGCCAUUCAGAUUGAGCAGAGGAUCCUGUUCAUACCAUCUUCAUGUUCUGCAUCUUGUAUUGGUUCUAUUGGAAGCGAAUUUGUCUCAGAAUUUGAGACAGAUACAAAUAUUGAUGUUGAAGACGAAUAAGACACACGCAUGUUCUGUGGCAAGCAGCAAGCUGCCAGGGAGAUGGACUUGAAAAUAAAACAACACUAGCUGUUGCAAAUCACCUCGUGAAGGCCAUGGUAGGGUAGGUGUAGGUCUGAGGAUGGUAACAUUUCAAGUCCAUUUCUCACUAUCUAUGCCUCUAUCUAAUUCCAUAAUAUUCUUCCUGGAUUUAAGCACUAAUUAAUUUUCAGUACUUCAACUAACUAACUAAUUAAUUAGCAGAUGAACAAUUAAUCAGAGAGCUUGUGUUGGAAGUUGAAGGAGUUGAUUAAGACUAUACAAGAUUGGGACAGAUGUGGACCUGUCUGUGGUAGUUGAAUGAAAGGCAAGAUGCAUGUGAUAUGUGUGCACUCACUGCAGCCUCUCUACGGCCAAGCUUGAAGCUUGAACUCAACACAAGGGAGAUAACACUGUUUUGCUAUUUCUAUCCAAUCACGUUAUGUCAUGUAGAAUUAUUACUAUGCAGGAGGGAAUGUAAUUGAUUGAAAAUAGUAGAACAACGCUAUCCCCGUAACAUGCAACACAUUGUGCAGCAACAACAACUACUGUUCAUGGAUCUGGUAUGGUGUAAUAACCUUAUAAGUGUGGCAGGCAGAUUUGCUGUUAUUAAUGCAACCAGCCAAUAUAUAUCUACAUGCAUGAUCUUCAAAAUAAUAUAAUAGUUUCUCUUCUAAUUGGACAUCCGUUUCAUUCAAUUAAGACUGAAGUGAGCUAGUUGAGAUACAGAAACACACUUUCUCACUUGGGCUUUUCUCUGAUAUAUAUUUAUUUUAGCUAGUUGAGAUACAGAAACACACUCCAAAAUCUUUCUUUAAUUAAACAAAAAUAAAUAUUAUGGAAGGUUUUAUGGACAGUAGGGAUCAUCCCAUUAAGAAAUUUGUCACAGGGCAAAAAGGAAAAGAUACAAUACCGGGUACUGCCAAGGAAAUGCACCGGUGAUAAAUACAGUUCAGGUGGGUAUAAUCAGCAUAUAAAUAUAAUUUAGACAAAUUGUUAAUGCCACACUAAAAUUGUAGUAUCUGAUAUUUGUUAAGUGAUCAUGAUAUAUAGUGGGGGUGGUCCUCCUGUUGUUGCAAGUGUCACAAGUUGUUUGGACUCCAAACUCAUCAUCGGGCCCACACCCAACUAAAACCUAGCUUGCAGGAGCACAGUUUUUUUAUUUUUUAUUUAUUUAUAAUCUUUUUAUUUAAAAUAAAAUUUUAAAUUUAUUUCUCCAUGCCCACCUUUAACACGACUCACUUGCCUGUUUUGUUAUAAAUGAGUGGCCUAGCAGGACUGGGAAGUGCAGAUGAGUGUCUCAAACUCACCGUUUUAAGAUCCCUUUCUCACAUUCUCCUCAGUAUACCAUUGUUCUACCUCUCUCUCUCUCUCUCUCUCUCUCUCUCUCUCUCUCUCUCUCUCUCUCUCUAGUUUAAGCUUCUUGUGAGGAGAGUAGAGCUCUAGCUCCUACAGUCUUAGCUAUGGCAUAUAUGAAAACUGAAGGUUUGUGUUGAGCAAGAUGGAGAAGCAGGGCACGUGCAUUUCUAACUCAUGCGCAUAUACAGAGAUAUAUUAUUACUCUCAAUAGUUCACCUGCCUAUCAAUCAAGUCUCUGAAAGCUUUUCUUUCUAUAUCUCAUAUCCAGUGAUGAGUUAGUUAUUCAUGUGCCCCUCUUCCCCAUCAUGACCACUACACCUUAUUUGUUACCUCUGGAAAAAUAUACCAAGAAGAUUGCUUAUAGAUCAGAACCAUGCAGAUAAAUUGAAUUUUGUUCAGAUCAAAAUGCUGGGAGUUUGCUCCAGCUCAGGUAGGUCAUGAUUCAUAAUUGUUUUCUGAGCAUUAGUUUGAGUAGAUAAAUAUAGCUGCAGCCUUGAUAUUUUCCUAUUUUAAUAAAAUGGGAUUUCAUUCAACACAUGGGGAUAGAGAAAUUAAAAUAUUAUGGGUUCGUCAAUUUUAGUUUUUAGUUUUUAUUUUUUGUGCUAGAGUAUAGAGGAAAAUGAGAGUGAGAAUGGGAGUGUGGAUGAGAGGGAAGAAUGGGAAGGAAGAGUAAUAAAAGAGAAGCAAAAACUUGAAAGUGAAAACAAUUUCAAAUAGAUUUCAGUUUUUAGUUUUUGUUUCCACUUUUGUUACUCAUUCCUCCUAUCCUUCCCCCUCAACUUCCUCUCAAUUUAAUCUUCGCUCUCAUUCUCACUUCCAUUCUCCCUAAAAACUAAAAUUGAAAUGGUUAUCAAACGGGCCCUAAGAUGAUUAAUUGUUAAGGAGAAAGAUCAAGCAAAGUUAAUAUGUUUUUGCAGAAUUUGUAGCUUUUGAAAUAGAGCCACAAUAGUUUUUCAACAAAAUUCAUGGCAGAUAACCAUUAUCUUAUGAUCAUAAGAUCAGCAUCUUUCUUUCUUUUUUUGAAGGAUUAGCAACUUGUUAUAUAUUUAAGUUCUAACACUAAAGAAUAUUAAAUUUCAACCAUGAUGCAGUAAUUAAUCUCAUUGUAUUGUGUACUCUUUAUUCUAUAAGCAUGAUCUCUCUUUUUUUUUUAUCUCCUUUUUCUGUAAGUCGUUCAAAGUUGCAUAGACGAAAGGGGGAACUGCUUUUUAAGUUUUCAUCUGUCCCCCCAGUAUGAGGAACUUAGCUUUCCUAUUGUGGAAAUACAUAAUGCUUUUGAAAAGAAAGCAACCCUUCCAAGGUCUCACUAUAAUUGCUAUGAACAUCAUUUAUAUAACAAUGAUAGUUCACCAACAUUAACUGUGUGACUACUAAUACUUUUAACCCUUCUCAGUUCUCACUAAUCUAACUUUACCUUUUCCUCUACUUGUUUUCUGUAAUAUUUUUCUUCUUUUCUUAAAAAAUAGAAAUAAAAAUCUGGGAACCUUCAUAUUGUUCUUGUUGUCAGAAAACAAAGAGAUGCUUCUGCAGAUGCUGCAUGGUUUUGUGAGAAGAGUUAUGGGUGAAUGCUAAGGUCAUUUACAUUGAAUUGGCAACUUGGUACGACCACCACCAAGGAGACAUAAAAAAUCUCUCUUUUCCCUCCUUGCUGACACUUCCUUCUCAUCCACGUCUGAAGGACAACGAUAAGCAACUCAUGUACAUCCACAGCUCCUUAAUCUGUUUCUUAUCCGAUUAAUUAUCCAAUUGCGUAAUUAACUUCUCUUUAAUCUUCCACCAUAAUCAAGAGCCUACUGUUCGGACAGGGUAGAUGUAAACUUUUAACUUGCAAAAGCAACUUAAUUUAUGGAAGAUACUUUUGUAAUUUUUUAUGUCAUGGAUUAUUGGUAACUCUUUCUUAAUGAGCUUUUCAGCGAGCUUAAUAGCUGAUUAACUUCAGAUUUAUUAGUUUAUGAUAGUGAAUGUAGAAAAUUUUGCUAUCCCUUGCAAAGGAGCAGCCCUUUUCACACGGACAAAACUUUAAUGUUUUGAAAAGGAUACAAACAGCGAUCUUUGGAUGCCUCAAUGAUUUCACAGGAAAAGUGUAAAGCCAGCAAAUUCGUUUCUUUGUAUUAUUUGUUGGUUUUAACUUUUUCGGUAAAUAGUGCUAUUUUGCCCACACAAGAUUAGGAUAGAGAGAAGUGUGCAAAUCAAUAGCGCACUUUAUUUCUUUUUCUCUCAACAGUUUUCAAUAUCUUGACUUCAAACCUCACAUUGAGUUGAAAGCAAAUAGGUGGUUUGCUUCCAUAUGAGCAAUUGUCAACAAUGGCGGGGAACUCCUUAUCUAUAACUUAUUACAGGCACAUAAUAAACACUACUAAAAAUCACUUGGGCUUUAAGAACAAGAAGUACCACUUUAUGAUAAAUCAAUACUCAUAUAACUGCGUGUUCUUAGUUUAUGUUUUUUAUAGUUGGUCUGUCUUAGAAACGUAACACAGAGCAUGCUGUCCAGCAGUUCAAGCUCUGGAUCAAAAAAUACAAAUUGGAACACAAUUUACAGUAUAGCUAAUUCUGAAGAGCUUAAGACCACAUGCUCCUUUCAACUGUAUCGAACGCAACAGACAAUGAGAUUGUUGUUUUUUGGUGAAAUUUUCAUCAACUAAUAUGUUCAAGCGAAGCUAUCGAAUUUGAAGCAGUGGUUCUGGUAAAGAAAAUGCCAACAAGAAGGGAUCACGAGCAUCAGCAUAGCAAGUAAGACAGAAGAUACUAGGUUGGUACAUACAAUUUUCUGCCAAACAUAAUAGGACGAACAAACGGACAAAUGGCCGGCACAAGUACAGUAUGCUGAGUCAAAAUAAAUUGCCUCUCUUCAACAAAAGACUAGACGAAAACGAAUCUGAUGCACAUGGAUGCAGCAAUUUCUGCUUCAGCUUUGCAUUGUGGUAGGUAAAGUCAAUCAACUGUAGCUGUUGAUUCUGUACAUCACAAUGUAACAAAUGCUACAUGCAAGUCAAUGCUUCAGCAGCUUAACUUGGGUUCACCAAAUCAGUCCAGGUAGUCUCAGCAAAACCGGGUUCAGAUCCUGAGCUAAGAAGUAGUGCUUCCCAAGCCUUUGCUCCGGGCGCAACAUUCUUAUCCACCAUUUUCUUCAGUAAGUCCAUUGCUUUACAAACCAAACCCUUUCGGCACAACCCAUAAAUUACCUCAUCAAAGCUGGAACAAAAACGACAGAGAAACUUAUCUAACAUUUCGUCCAUAAAGAUGCAAGCUUCAUCAAUAUCUCCUUGGCCAAACAGACCAUCCAGCAUUAUCCUAUGUGUCUGCAAGUUAACCCCAAUACCCUUUAAUGUCAUCUCACUCACAAGCUCUCUGGCCCUACUAAGCUCACCAGUAUUGCAUAAACCCUUCAAUAAAAUGUUAUAAGUAAUCAAAUUAGGCUUGCACCCCAACUCUUCCAUGGAAGAAAUCAUCUUUAAUCCAUCUUUCACCUUAUUUUGCUUACACAAUCCAUUUACAUACACAUUGUAAGUAUAAACAUCAGGAACCAAACCCAACAGAAGCAAUUCAUCAAACAGCUCAUCGGCGUUCUUGUAAUCCCCUUCUGCAAUGACACCAUGUAAGACCAUGGUAUAGCAAACAAUGUCAGGCUUAAUUCCCUCCACUUUCAUCUUAACCAAAACAUUCAAAGCAUCCAAACCCCUCCCCUGUUUCACCAUAUACCUAAUCACAUUUGAAUAGUCCAUCAUACCAGGACAAAACCCAAGUUUCUUCAUUUCUUCUACAAAACCCAGCACCUCAAAACCAGAUGAAUCCUUUUGUUCACAAAGUGAUGACAAUAUCAAAGAGCACAUCUUUACAUUCAAACCAUACCCAUAACUGAUCAUACAAUUCAUUAUCUCAAUAGCAUAUCCAACCUUCCCAAUUCCACACAGAGAAUUGACUAAAAUCUGAAAACUCGAUUCUUCGAGCCGGAUGCUCAUAAUAUGGCUCCUCAGCAAAAUCUCAGGCACCAUUUUAAGACCUUCCCUAGACCCACAAAGCACAUACAGCAAGGAGUUGAGCGAGUGAGCAGAAGGGACGCACCUGAACUUUGGAAUCCUGCAAAAAAGAUCAAUGGCGUCCUGGGUUCUCUUAGCUUGGCCAUAAAAACUAAUGAGAUGGGCGAAAAUGUAUUCGGGUGUGUUGAAUUUCUCGACGAAUUCAAGGCGGUCAAGAACUGAAGCGAUGUCUUUGAAUUGGGAGGUUUUGGUCAGGGUUUUGAUGACAAAGUUGUACGCUUCAGGGUUUGGUUCACAGUUGUAGCUGUUGAAGGAGUAAAUGAGUGUGGAGAGAAGAUGUUGGGGUUGGUUUUGAGGCGGUGAUGAUUUUUUGAGGCUUUGAAAGGCCUGGUUUUGAUUGAAGGUUUGGUGCCAUUUGGUGUUGUGGGGUGAGACUGGCCACUUCCUGUGUUUUCUCAGGAAAAAUUUGCUGCUGGGUUUUAGAGCAGAGGCUCUCACCAUUUUUGAAAAAUUCGAAAUUCAGAUUAUUGCGGAUCAUCUACUUGUUUCAACUGAAGGUCUCAUGGGGCUCUUCCCAUUUCUGCAAUUUCUUAACUCCUUCAGCUUGAAAGCGAACGAAAAUGGUGGGAGCAGACAAUAAAAGCCAUGUCAAACAAAUCUCUCGUUCUGCUCCCAAAAAAAAACAGAAUCUCUCGUUCUACGGUAAAUGAGCUCGGCCCAUGAAACUUUUUUCUGAAAUGUAUCAUAAAACUUAUGGCGUCUUCAGUUCACCAUGCCCCCACACAUCCCACCUAUCCUCCGACUUAAGCCCUCUCCUGUCAAUUCCACCCUUUCACUAAGAGUCUGGGCCUCACUUUGGGCUUCUGUUUCAGCAGAGUUUGGGAGAUUAGUUUUCAGCUCAUCCAUCUAGAUUGGAAAGCCGUAGCUUUGUAGUGUAAGUUUCACCUUUCUGUUUGUGUGGUGGCCUCCUUGGCCAUCUCUCGUACAUUGUUGGUGUUUUAUUCUUUAUUGAAUAAUUUUGUUUCUUAAAAAAUAAAAAAAAGUAUGCCAAAUGGUAUUGCAUUGUUUAACACAGGCAUCACUAGCGGAAAAUUAUACAAGAUAUUGGUCGAUAUACCCUUUUUGUUUUUUAACAAAUAAAUGACCAUUUGGGUCAUGUGGUCAAGGGCUGUCCAUGUAAUGUCUAUCACAAUUUGGGUAUAUUCGGUUUCACGAUUGGAAACAUAUAUGGAAGGCUUGAUUUAUCAUAGAGGGGCACUCUGGCUUCUUUUCUGUACACCAAUAGUGGUUGUGGUCAAUGUUAGAAUUUUGAGUCAAAAUAUAAUACAAUGAUCUAUCUCAUGUUAACGAUGCUCUUCAUGGGUGUUCUUUGCAUAAAUUCUCUAAAUUAGGCAUCAAAGUUCAGCUUUUGCUUAUGUACUCAGUCUUUUAAUCUAUGCACUGAAUUUUUAUUAUUGAUUAGAAUGUGGCUGCUGCUGGGGAAAGAGAGUUGGAAAGACUGAAGGCUGAACUGAGGGCCAGCAAUGCUCUCGAACUGCAGGUUUAGCACCCAUAUGCCUUAUCAUAUAACUUAAGUUUGUAGCUUGAGACAUAUCUAUCAGCAUGUCAGCAAACUUUUGGUGUUGCAAAGGAGAGAGGUAUUUUUCUUGGCAUUAGCAUAUAUUUUUCUAUGCGUACAAGUUUAUUACACACCACCUAAAUUCCAACUGAGAUGUGCAGUAUUAAGUGAUUUUCUCUCUUUUCUGUAGCUAGAGAUGCUGACAAGGAUUGAAGGCAGGCUUCACACGUUGAAUUUGAAUUGAAGGUACGCUUCUGUUUUAAGUUCACAAGGCAAAUCCACGGGCUUUUAUCUAAUGUUUUUUAUUUAUUUCUGUGAGCAGGAUCGUUAGGAUUGCGGGUGUUUGUUCGAACUUCAUAUUGGAGCAUCUUUUGAAGCCCACCAAUAUUCAUUGUACUAACUAUAUAUUAGGAAUAUCUUUCUUACAAUACCCUAUAUAUUUAUAUAUGGAGCUUCUCCAUUACGGAGUCCAUCAAUGCGAAUUGGUUACGGAAUUCUAUUUUUGAUUGUGGGAUGAUUUCAACGCUUCAAAUUGGAUAUAUACUCCUUUUCUUUUUUUUUUCUUCCUCUCCUCGUGUUCCUCUUUGGAUUGGACUUCUUAAACCAUCUCCUUAGAUAAAAUUUAGGGAAGAAGUGAGAAAACUCACCUUCAUCCAUGCUCCCUAUCUAACUCCUAAAAUAGGAAAACCUCUAGGAGCUCCUAAAUCUGAAGAUAGAGAAAUGACUCAUAAUGGCUCCCUAUAAUUAAAUGAUGCUUUACUUUAAUGCUAUUUUAAGUGUUCAUUUAUUUAAUGCUUACUUUUUUUUUUUAUAUGAAGAGGGAGGAUUUAUGCUAAAUUAAAAAAAGAAAUAAAUCAUUUAUGAUUUCCUGAACUAGGGAGCAUGGUUGGAGUUGGAAUUUUCAAGGAGCUCCUAAAAUAACUUUCUAGUGUUUUUAGCUAAAUUUUAACUAAAAAAUAAGGAGUAUUAUUAUAGAUGCUCUAAUACAACAUAAAUUUCAAGCUGAAUUGUUGAGAGAGUUUACAAGCUUUUUUCACCCUCACUCAUGACUAACCCAUAAUUCUGUAUUUUAAUGCCCUAAUCAAUUAUUGAAGCGAGUAAGGAUAACAAUGGUUGCACAUGAAGAUAACCUCAAUUCUAGAUGGUAACAAUGGUUGCACAUGAAGAUAACCUCAAUUCUAGAUGGUUUUAUUUUUUUUCUACAUUAAUUAAUAUAUAAAUUCUAAUCAGGUGAAAUUAAGUUAUAAAUAAACUGAUCUUAGUUUCAAAUUUAAAAGCUCACCUAAUGAUGUCCUUGUCGGGCCUAUUAUCAUCUUCGAACCACCCAUCCUCUGGAUUAUAAAAUGUGUUAAAAUAUUUAGUCAGAUAUAUACCUUCCACUGCCAAUGAGCUUAGGGGUCUACGAACGAAUAUAGAUGAGCAGGUGUAAUCUUCUGGAUAGAGAUUUGUUGUUUGAUUAUAAUUGGGUGCUAUAUAAAUCAAAAGAUAAUGGCAUUCUUGGGAGGUUUGAGGUCAAGUUGAAGAUUUGGAAAGAAGAUGACACCAUCACAUAUAUAUUGGUUUGUAGACCUCUAAGCUCAUUGGCAGUCUAACAUAUAUAUCUGAUUGAAUGUAUUGAGACAUUUUAUAAUACAAAGGACGUUGAUCCAGAGGAUGGAUGGUUUGAAGAUGAAAAUAAGUCACAGAAAGAUCUCAUCAGGUGAGCUUUUAAAUUUGAAAUUUAGAUAAGUUUAUUUAUACCUUAGAUAAUAUACUAAACCAACACACCACAAAUUUGAAACUUAGAUAAAUUUAUUUAUAGCUUAAUUUAGAAUAUAUUGACACACUGUACAUGUGUUUCAUCAGCUAGUUCAUUGGCAUUAGAUGAAUGUAGGCUUCAUCAGUUUCAUCAGUUUCAUGCCAGGCCCCUGCAUAGUUGGGAGUGAAUUACUUAAAUGGCCUCAAUUUUCCAAAGCGAUAGCACCGUCCGUAGCACGUGAGUGUGGCAAGGGAAGCUGACACAUUUUGAGCCCAAAUGUUCAUAUAACGGGACCUUACGUACACACGACAUGCUCUGUUUCCGGAAUCAUAUGCUACAAGAAUAUUGAUUAAUUAAUAGAAGCCAAGUCAAACAUUAGGGUCGUACAUCAUGGAACGACAUGUCAUUCUUAAUGUUUUUGUUUGAUGAAAAGACCCAUGGCCUAAAUUAUGGGUUGCAGCUCUACGGCAAAUAAACCAAGCCUUCAUUUAAGACCCCUUUAGAUUUAGAAUGCUGCUUAAAAGUCUACGUAUUGGUUGGACUUGCUUUGUUGUAAACGAAAACAGUCAACGUACGAAACACGUUUUCGCUUGGACCCAAAGUAAACUGAUUAUUCCCCCCCCCAUAAAAGCAUACGCACUCUCACCAUUCACCAAACACUAUUGUCUUUCUUUCCCAAACCUAAAUCAAAAUACAGGUGCUCAUCGGCGACAUAUUUCAUACCAUGACACAACCAGAAGCUAGCGCACCAUCAGUAGCAUAUGCUCAUCCCGCUGUUGCGGUUGUCAGCCCUCACUUCUGCAGCCCCUACCCCAUGGAUAUUGCAAUUGUUAGAAAACUUCUAACCAUAACCCAUGGCAGCUUUGUAGUCACUGAUGUCAAUGGCAACAUCAUUUUGAAAGUCAAAGGAGAUCAUUUACUUGACACGGCUGGUUAUCCCAUUCUCACUCUAAGACAGAAGGUAAAGCCUUGUUAAUCACCAUAACACCAUGGUAUCUAUUUAUGUAGCUUUUGCACUUUAAGCCAGCUGCUUGUCUGUGGACAUCCAAAUUCGUAGUUUGACAACAAUAUAAGUUGUCACACUGUCAAGUCAGAUAAUAUUUAUCGUAGUUUAUACUACGUAUUUCAGUUGUAGUUAACUGACUUAUUCGUAUCUUUUUAUGUAGUUGAUGUCUGCACAUGAGAGAUGGCAAGUUUUUAGGGGGAAAAGCACAAAAUCCAGGGAUCUGAUUUUUAGUACUAAGAGAUCUUCAAUGGUCCAAUUUUACACCAAAUUAGAUGUUUUCUUAGCACAUAACACAACAGAGAAGGUACCUGACUUCAAGGUCAAAGGAAGUUGGUCUGAAAAAUCCUGCGUCAUAUAUGCUGGGGACUACUCCACCAUUGUUGCCCAAGUAAGAUUACUUUAAUUAAGUUUAUGAAUCAUCAUCAACUACAUUAACAUUUAUUACUUCUAGCAUAUUUACUGCGUACUGACUGAUUGGGAUGUAAUAUGUUGUGGGAAAACAUUGCAGAUGCAUAAGAAGCGCACAGUUAAAAGUGAGUUGCUUGGAAAGGACCAUUUCAUGGUGACAGUGAAUCCUGGGAUUGAUUAUGCAUUCAUCGUCGCGCUUAUUGUGAUUCUUGAUGAGAUUAACACUGCUAGUACUCCUACUGUUCCAACCUAAUGUAUCAAGGAUUAGGAUCAUGAAUUGAUUAGUUUAGAUCCACUUCUUACUUUAAUUAGGAAACGACGCAUGUUUGUCCCUUUGGCCUAAUUUAUUCAUUCAUACUCAUGAUGGGCAUUGUAAACAUGUUGGAUUUUUUUCUUUAAAGAAGUUUUGUUACAACAAUAAAAAUAAUAUUGUUUUUGUGAUGUUGAACGUUGUGUAUAAUAUAAUUACUAUCAUCUCCGUAUCAGUACGAAGAUGUUUUAAGAAUCACGAAGUUGUGUAAUUAUGUUAUGUUUCAAAGUUUAUGUGACAAUUUUUUAAAAUUCACACGACCUCUUAAUAAGAUUUUGUUUGUUUGUUGGUUUGUGCGUGUAUGACUAUAGCAACUAUUGAAAGGGUUUAGAAUAUUGCAUGCUUGAUGUGUGUCUAGAUUGAAUAAAUGUGUGAAAUAUGUAAAUUAAUCAUUGACCCUUGACGAAUGUGCCCAAUGAAUGUCAUUAUGUUGCCAAAUUCCAGUAUAAUCUUCCUUUGUUUAGUGCCAUGUGAUGGGCAAUUGACGAGGAUGAUGACGAACUUGAAAGUUACAAACAGGACAGCCUUUAGUUUGGUGCAUAAUGAGUUUAUUUGACUCUAAUCGUGAUCAGUGCGAUGUGCUUCUCAUGUUCACAUAUAUUUCUCCACGUUUGCUGCUCCUCAUGUUCACAUGUUUCUCCUCCACAAGUGCUCCUCGUUAAUUGGCUCUCUAAUUUCCAUAUAUAUUGGUUUAUUACUCUUUCAGAUUUCUUAAAUUUCAUGCAAAUUAGGUAAUUCUUCAUUUAGUAUAUUGGAAAACGAUUUGGCCUCAACAACUUAUAUCCCACAAUUAAAACAUAUGACUUAAGUUGGUUAGAGUGAAUGUACUCCCCACUAUGUAUUUGAGUUUAAAUUUCAUUAUCUGCAGCGAGUUUGGAUUACGAUUCUACGGAAAAAAUUAACCGGCCCAUGAACCAACCCAUAAUUUUUGUUUGAAAAAGAGAGAAUAAAAGGGUCAUGCUAAAAUAGGCCUUUGUAACUCAAAUAUCAUAGACGAUAACCCACCAAUAAUAAUAUAAUGUUUAAGUAAAAUCUAAUUUUAAAAUUGGAUGACAAUAUGUCCAUGUAAGUUGAUUUAUUUAUAAAUUCUGCCACUAGAUCUUUAUUUGGUGGCUGACAGUUUUUCAUCCCCUCAUUUUAUGCAAAUGAAUUAUACCUCUCACUACACAUUUAUAUUUGUACUCCUGUAAUAAUGGCCUACAAUCAAAUUUAUUCAAAUACUCCCUCUUAACCUCCUAUAGGUCGAAUAAAUGAAUUUUUUUAUACCUACACCCUCCAAUUAUAUAUAUUUACCUAAUAUUCUUCAAUCCUAGUGAUCGGGUUUUAUUUGGUGACUGUUGACACUUUUUUUUUUUUUUGGUGUGUAAUAGUUGUAGGUGAUUAAAAAUAAAUUUUAUAGAUCUAAUCUCAAUUUACUAAAUAAAAUAACACUUUAUUUUUUGCUGGGAUAUAAUAACACUUUCAAACAAAAUUGUCUUCACCAUGCCUACACAAUCCAAACGUAUAAUUGAUUUCAGUCUCAGAUAUUUUAAUAUGAAUUAGCACAGGCUUGUCGCCAUGACUUCGUCUCAUAUAAAUUAUGAGAUAAACUUCCAACUUCAAACUUUGAACCAAAAAGUUGGUCUAAAUUUUUUAAUAAGAGGAUUAAAUUGAGAGGAAUAAACCAAGCCACCUUUCCAGAACCCUCUAUAGUAUUUGUUUAAAAGUCGACAAUUUCAAAUUCUACGCAUUGGCUUGACUUGCUUUGUUUUAAACGGAAACGGUCAAUACAGGAAACACGUUUUGGCAUGUCCUCAUUUCAUAAAAGAUCAAUCUCACCAUUCACCAAACAUUGUUGCCGUUCUUUCUAUCCUAAACCAAAUCAAAAUACAGGUGCGCUCAUCGGUAUCCGCCAUUUCUCUUACCAUGAAACAACCAGAAGCUAGCGCACCAUCGAUAGCCUACGCUAAUCCGGCAUCAUUAGAGUACGCUGAUCCCGGGACAAUAGCCUAUGCUCAUCCCGCCGUUGCGAUCGUCAGCCCUCACUUCUGCAGCCCCCAACCUGUAGAUCUUGCAAUUGUUAGAAAAGUUUUGACCAUAACCGAUGGCAACUUUGUGGUCUCUGAUAUCAAUGGCAACGUCAUUUUUAAAGUCAAGGGAGCUCAUUUAAGCUUUCGUGACCACAGGAUCUUACUUGACACAGCUGGUUAUCCCAUCAUCACUCUAAGAAAGAAGGUAAAACUUUGUUAGUUAACAUAACACAUGAAAAAAACCAUGUAUAGGGUUUUUAUGUAGCUUUUGCACUUUAUUUAACCCUUGUUUGUGAACGUUUAGGUUUAUAGGGUAAGAGCCUAAUAUUUUUAGAUUGUGAAUUUGGUAAAACAUAAUAGUUUGAAUUCGUAGUCUGAUUAUAAAUUGACACACAGUCUAGCAAGAGAACAUUUACGAGAGUUUAUACUAAUUUUCUUGUAUGUACUCAUAUGUAUAUUUAUGUGCAGUUCGUAAGUGCACAUGAUAGAUGGCAAGUUUUUAGAGGGGAUAGCACAGAAACAAGGGAUCUGAUUUUUAGUGCUAAGAGGUCCUCGAUGUUCCAAUUUAAGACCAAAUUGGAUAUUUUCUUAGCAAAUAACAUAGCCGAGAAAGCACCUGACUUCAGGAUCAAAGGAAGUUGGUUUGAACGAUCUUGUGUCAUAUAUGGUGGGAACUCUUCCACCAUCGUUGCCCAAGUAAGAUUACUUUAAUUAAUCUUCUAAUCAACUACAUUAAUAUUAAUUAAUUACUGCAUCAACUGUGUACUGGUACUGACUGCGAUAUAAUAUCUUUAUGGGGAAAAUAUUGCAGAUGCAUAAGAAGCGGACAGUUCAAAGCGUGUUGUUUGGAAAGGACAAUUUCAUGGUGACAGUGUACCCAGGCAUUGACUAUGCAUUCAUCAUCGCGCUUAUUGUGAUUCUUGAUGAGAUUAAUGAAAAUUAAAAUUAAUACCAAGGAUUGAGUAGAUUAGUUUGGAUCUACUUUGUUACUCUAAUGAGGAAACGGUACAUCUUUGUUGCUAUCCCUUUGGCCUUUUCCUUUGUAAAUAUUCAUAAAUAUUAAGAUUUAUUUUAGUAUAUGUUGCUCGAUUAUAAUUUUCAUUUGAUAAAUGACAUAUGAAUGUGAUGAUGCAUGCACUCAUAUUGAUUUGACAUUUGUGGCUAAAAUCUCUCAUUCCUCACAUAUCUUUUCUUCUUCUAAAUUUUCAACCUUUGUUGCCCUCAUGUUCAUAUCUUUCUCCACGUCCUCUACUUUGUAUUGGUUUCUUUCUGUCUCAAAUUUCCCAAAUUUUGCAAUUAAUCAGAAAAGCCUCUAAUAUACUAAACACGUAUGAUUUGCUCUAGAAAACUUAUUUCCCAUGAUCUUGUAUAUAAAAUGAGAUUUACGUAAGAUAGUAUUUUUGCUCACCAUACUUUAACCUAAGGUAUAUGCUCAUAACAUUUCUCAACGCUGGACACGUGUCUAUAAAUAUAAUCAUAGUUACAUAAAACAAAGUUAAAAAUUAAUCAUAAUUAUGCCUAUGAACACGUAUCAAUUAUUAAAAAUAUAUAUAAAGCAAAAGGCAGAGAAUGGUGAAACAUUCAAAAUACCAGAAAAUGCCCUUUGCUAAUUCAAACAUUAAGAAUUGAAAUUAUUAAUUAAAUGAGGAUAAUAUGGUAAAUUCAUAUUUUUUAAUAUUAAAAAAAUUAAAAUUAAAAACAAAAUAAGAUAAUAGGUCCUACUUUUAUGGAACAUAACUACCUGUUAUCUUUUAUUAAUUCUAAAAAUAAAAUAAAAAAGAAAAAGAAAACCAAUUGGCACAUGCGUGAGCAUGUGUCAAGGGGCUAGUUAAAAAUAAUAAUACAACAAAUAUUAAGAUUAUAGCAAACUCACCACGAUUGUGUUUCCAUAAAUCAAGUUUUUGACCCUCACUCUGCGACAUAAGGUAAUUACAAGUAAUUGGUGCAACAAAUAUUCCUAAUAAUAGAACUUUAAUUAUGCACCUAAAUAUUCAAAAUCACAUCUAGCUCUUGCUUUUUGUUCUUUUAAUUUUUUUGCUUUCUCCCUUGUUACAUACACAUGUAAAGAAUACAUUAUUCUUAUUUACACAGAAAUAACUGAGUCAAUAACAUUUAAAAUAAAUAAUUUUCAAAUAACAAAAUUGGAAAUGAAAUAUUUGUCUUUCAUCCAUGUCAUUAAUGGAUAUGGGAUUUAUUCGAGAACAUGUCCCCACGCACUACAUCCAUGCGUGAACAAGAGGGCUCCGCCACUUCAGGCAAUUGCAAUUGUUACUCAGUCGGAUUCAGACACGCCGAAAGAUUCCCUCCCACUAUGUGAACACGUCAAUGCAAACGGACAAUGCCCAGCUCGGUCAACUCUUAUCUCUUUUCUCUAUUCUCAUCCUUCAAUAAAUAAUACCCAAACUAUCUGAUCAGAGAUCACACACCAAAAACAAUCAAGCUCUGCAAGUGUGGGUGAGAAACUAACGACAUGUCGUAUACGGUGCCGGUGCCUGCAGCUGGUCCGAGCGCUCAGCCACUGGCGAACCCAGUGACCGUGGUCAGCCCACAGUUCCACGCAACGUACCCAGUGGAUCUGGUGAUCACCGAGAAGAUGAUGAGCCUCAAGGAAGGUACAUUCACAGUCUCCGAUGUCAACGGCAAUCUCAUGUUCAAGAUCAAAGGCUCCCUGUUCAGCCUUCACGACCGCCGCGUUUUGGUCGACGGCGCCGACACUCCGAUCCUCUCUUUUCGACAAAAGGUACCCACCUGUAUUUGUGUUACAUGGGUUGGCGACACGUGUACGUACUGAUAUAGUUAUUGUGAAUCGCAGUAAUUAAGUUAAAUUUGUUAACUACAAUUUACACCCCCAUGUUGAUCUCAUAUAAGGUCAAAUCAAAACAGCUCUAAAGCACUAAAAAAUUACACCCCAUGUUUCUGCUUUGAUCUAGUUUGAUCAUAGUGCUCUUAUUUGGGUUGAUUUAGAUAUUGACAGCGCAUAGGAGAUGGCACGUAUAUAGAGGAGAGAGCUCAGAGGCCAAAGAUUUACUUUUCACUGCGAAGAAGUCAUCGUUUUUCCAGUUAAAGACUGAAUUAGAUGUGUUCUUGGCUGCUAAUACAAAAGAAGAGCAAUAUGAUUUCAAGGUCAAAGGAAGUUGGGGGGAGAGAUCAUGCACCAUAUACACUGGAGACAACACCAUCAUUGCUCAAGUAAGAUUUAGCAUAUCAUCCAUCAGUUUCAUUAUGAUGCAUGAUGAUGAUAUAACAUACAUAUAUAAUGUAUUAAUGUGAAUGCAGAUGCACAAGAAGCAUGAUGUUAAAAGUGUUUUGUUUGGAAGAGAUGCAUUUGGAGUUACUGUGUACCCUCAUGUUGAUUACGCCUUUAUAGUUGCUGUUGUGGUCAUUCUUCACGAGAUUAAUAUGGAUAGAGGCGGGGAAGACUGAAGCUGUGAUGUGAAUCGUGAUGCUGCUUCUUAAUUACAAUAAAAUUAUAAUUAUGAUGAAUAAAUUAGUGAUUUUCACUUGUAAUGUCACUUAACCCUAUAGGAAUUUCCAAGACUACUUCUAUUGUGAUUUCUGGAAUCUUUCAAAUGAAUAAAUGAAUGUUUGUGUGCCUCUGCUUCUGGAGAAAUUUUGAGUGGCACCGCUUUAUAAUUUCUCGUUGACUUGAGCUUAAACAUGAUUUGUUACCCAAAGAAAAAGGCAGAUUAAUAUUUUAGUAUGAGUAAUGCUAUUCUUAUCACAUUUUCAUACCACAUAAUGUGACAUCUUAUUUGGACAUGCCAUCUCAUUUAAUUUCAUUUUAAAUUAUCUUAUUUUCAUUCAUUUCAGUUAAUAUAUUUAAUAAUUAUUAUAAUAAUAAAUUUUGUAGACUUCUCAUAUUCUUGCGUCCUCCUCCACCACUCUUCGUCUACCCCAAUCAAUUUCCUCCUCCCUCUUGAGAAAAUCAGACACCGAGACAAAGCCCCAAGGAAUCGAUAGAGAAAAAGCAUAUUAAGGAAAAGCAAAAAUAUCAGCACCAAAAAAAAACUAUCGACACCACUGUCGAGAAGACAGAGGCAGAGUGUAAAGGGGCUUAUGGAGCAUGAAAGCACAUUUUUAUGAAGAAUGAAAACGCCCCUACCAUGACAAUCCCAGAAUGGUAGUAUCAAGGAACCCUUUGGCUGUCAAAGGCCAGCCACCACCGCCGUCAACCUUACCAUUCUUAGCCCUAAGUUCAAGGAUUUCCAACUCUUUGGAUGGGCUAACCACCACCUCACACAGCUUUGUUUUAUCGGGUGCACUCUGAGUACUACAAGUGGCCGUAUCCCUCUUCUAAUUUCACCUGUCAACUCUUUUCAUGGACUCACCACCACCUGACAAAGCAUUGAAUCAUUGAUUGCAGACUGAGCAACACCAGUGGAGCCUUGUGCCCGUCUAAGCCCCCCUUUAGCACCAGCUCUAACCCACAAGAUUCCUCUAUUAAGUUUUAGAGAGCAACCUGGGCUAAGCGACGGAAGAAAUUUUUUUCUUUUUUGAAGGGGGAUUGCAAACACCGUUAACAACAAAUUUCUUCUUACCACAUUUCUGUUGUGUAGGCUGCACCGUAUUUAUUGUGGGAUCAGAUUCAGUAUUCAAGGAUGCCAGCUUGUGGAGUGCGGCAUCUUCCACAAGAACAGCAUGAAUAUUCUCGGACUCAUCAGAUUCGGUAUACAACGUUCGUCCAUUGCGUUCCAAAUCCAAGGCUAGCUAGUAAUCUUGACAUGCUUUAAUCCAAGUGUAGGGUGAUUUUCAUUUUGCAGUCCAUUGCUAAAACAAAAAAGUCUAAUAUCCUUACAUAUUAAUGGCGAACAAAUCGAAUACUGACCAUACUCAAUCGAAGGUCUGCUUUGAGUUAAAUUGUAAUACUUGGCUUUGGUUCGGUUUUCUUAUCAAUUUUAAAAUUAAAUAAAUAAUACCUAUAUCAAAUUAGAUAUUCGAUCUAGUACAGUCAAUAUUCGAUUUGUUCGGCAUACAUAUUCACCCCUAAUGAAGGUUAUGUUUCCAUUCAUGUUUCAUUGACUCAAUUUUUAUACAUGCGUAUCUAAUUAUGGGCAAUUGGGGAGUUUUAAACAUCAUUCUUGCACUUGAAAUUGAGUCUCUCACAUUCCUCUAAAAUUCAAAUAAUCAAAUCCUCUCUCUCUCUCAUAAUUAGUUAGGUGUGGGAAUUGAGACCGAAAAACGGGAACACCAAGCUGCACCGGAUGGAAAAACAUGAAAAAAAAAAUCGUGUCAACAAACAGGCACCGAACUGAACUGGACCGGCUUUGUAUUUUUUAUAUUUUAUAUUUUAAAUUAUUCAAAUCCAAUGCUAAAUUUCUAAUACCAUAAUUAAUAUAUCUCUCCAAACCCAACUUUAAAGCACCUCUCUUUUACAAGAAAUUGGGUCAUUUAUGAAUUUUGAAGCUCAAUGAAUACAAUUUAGUUGAAAUUUGUAAAUAUAUAUACACAAAAAUCCGGUCUAGUUAGCUCUCCAUUCCCUCCCUCAAGAAUUAUAUAUACACAAUCCGGUCUAGUACUCGCCCAUUUUGGUCCAAGGAGUUUGUUAGAGGCAGUAAGAUAUUGUUUGCGCGUUCACACUAUCACGUGGCACUAGUGUGCCUCUUUGUUAAGGCGUUAAUACUAGUGCCACUUUGUUAAGGCAUUCUCAAUCACACAGCAGUACCAUUUCUGAGAUAAUAGAACCUUGUUCUUCACGCUUCUCUCAUUGCUCCUCAAGAUUCUAUACUAGUGCCACUUUGUUAAGGCAUUCUCAAUCACACUGCAGUACCAUUUCUGAGAUAAUAGAACCUUGUUCUUCGUGCUUCUCUCAUUGCUCCUCAAGAUUCUAUACAGGUUCCAUUUCAGACAAUUUACCUCUCCCUCCAUCUUUCUUUUCAAUGUUUCAAAUAUUUCCAUUUGUAAUUUUCAUAUAGGUUCAUAAUUUUCAUAUACAUUUCCUAGUUUCAUAAUUUUCAUACACAUUUCAUAGUUUCAUAGUUUCAUAACGUUCAUACACCCUCUCCCUCCAUCUCUCCCUCCAUCUCUCGUUCCAAAAUUUCAUAGUUAUGCAUAAAAUAUGGAUAUUCGUGUUCCUUUAAACCAUACGGGUGCUCUUGAUUAUAUAUGGGUUAUGCAUAAAAUAUGGGUUCUUGAUUAUAUUUGUGUUUCUUUAUACUAAACGGGUGCUCUUGAUUAUAUCUGGGUUAUGCAUAAAAUAUAGGUUCUUGAUUAUAUUUGUGUUUCUUUAUACUAAACGGGUGCUCUUGAUUAUAUCUGGGUUAUGCAUAAAAUAUAGGUUCUUGAUUAUAUUUGUGUUUCUUUAUACUAUACGGGUGCUCUUGAUUAUAUCUGGGUUAUGCAUAAAAUAUAGGUUCUUGAUUAUAUUUGUGUUUCUUUAUACUAUACGGGUGCUCUUGAUUAUCUAUGGGUUUUCUUAAUAAUAUAUAGUUUAUUAAUUUUUUAAUAUGAUUUUUGCAGGAAGCGUUAAUAAUGGUGGAUUUUGAAGGUUGAUUAAAUAUUUAUUUAUUUUUAUUUUUUACUUAUCAUAAAAGGUUGUAAAUUUAAUAUCUUUAAUAUUUCUUUAAUUUUGUACUUACUUAUUCAUUUUUUCAGAAAUACCAAAUGAACCAGAGGCUCCGCUGGAUAGCUCACCAGAAAGGGCUAUUAUAUGGUUGUUCCAUGUGGUGACCCAAAUGUUCGAAAAACUAUAUACAUUGGAGUCAACAGGUGGGCCAGCAUUCUUUUUUUUUUUACAUGUUUAUUUGUUAUUAAUUAUCACUUAUAAAUGUAUAUAUGGCUAAACAUCUUUAUUUUGUUAUUAAUUAUUUUAGGUUUUUAUCUGCUGAUGAGCAGCUGUCUUGCUAUAUACCAGUAUAUCGAAUGACAAUUGUUGCAGGUAGCUUUAUUGGAAGUUUCCAAAGAGGGUUGUUGGAAGAUGACAACCGUGUCAAGUUCGAAUUGAGAAACCUGGCCGCGUUGAAUUUUAUGACUGGAACUUUUGCUGUUAUGUUUUAUAUAUGGUCUGAGACUCUACUGGACGGAAGGAGGAUCGCGAGAUUGAGUGAAGUGUUACUUGAAUCAAUAUGCCUUUUUAAUAGGAGGUAAAUUCUUUUAUAUUUGUUUGAUUAGUGAUCAAUACUAUGGCUUAUAUAAUAAUUAGUACUUUUUAAAUUGCUACAGGAAUAACGUUGAUACUGAGCCUGAGAAUUGGUACCAGAAUGACAACCGAGUUGUGAGAGAUAGUAUAAGGUUUACAAUACAUUCUAUAUUAAUAAAUUUUUACGUCUUCAGUUCUUUUAAUUUUCUUUACAUCUCAUCACUUGCUGUUUAUUUAACUUUUCAGGUUUCAUCGUGAUGGAGGUAUACAAGUUCGUGAUGACCAUUUCAACUUUUUGGGCUGGAUUUUUUUAUCAAUCCUGCGCCAAUUAUGAUGAACUUUCAGCACAAAUAUCAUUUUGUGCGAGAAGAGGAGGACUUGAAGAACCUUACACAACAAGGUUUGAACCUGAUAAUUGUGUGCCAACACAAGAUAUCACACAAUUCUUUGCCAAAUUGAAAUGGAUAAACCUCUACCCAAUUAGGUAAUUAUAUAGUUAUACAAUGUUGAUUUAUUGUGCAUUGAAUGUCAAGUGAUGGAAAUGGGAAAUAAUAUUGAUUUUACUUUUGGUUUGUAUUGUUAAGGGAUGGAGAUCGAAAUGAUGAUGGUGAUGUGCAAGGAGACGAUGAUGAAAAUAAUGAUAUCAGGUGUUUUUCCAAUUAUGUAGUUAUAUAACAUUGAUUUAUUGUGCAUUGAAUGUUAAGUGAUGGAAAUGGAAAAUAAUAUUGAUUUUGUUUUUGUUUGUAUUGUUAAGGGACGAAGAUGGAAUUGUGGCCAUGAAAAUGAAAUGGAAGAAAAUGAGAGUGAAGUGGAAGAAAAUGAGGGUUCAUUGGAAGAAAAUAAGGGUGAUGAUGACUUGGAAGAAACUGCAAAUGGUGCAGUGGGUGAAAACAAAAAUGAAGAAGUGGAAGAGAAGGCAAAUGAAGAAAUGGAAUAUUAAGAAGUUGUCAAGUAUGUAGCUAUAAAUAGCUUUUAUUAGUGUUUUGCAAUUAUCUGGUUAUAUUAUAGCAUAAUGAUUUUAUUGUGUAUUGUAUUGCAUAUUAACAGAUGGUGGAAUUGCAUAGGGGGCUGAUUAGCAGGAUACUGGAUUGGAGUUGGACAUGCAGCAAAGUAGAUUCAUGUCCUACUUGUAACUCAUUUUAAGUUUUGUCACGAGAAUCUCCCUUUCGGGGGGAAGCAAUCUGCUCUAGGCUUGGUUAGCUUAGUUUGACCUUUCCCUUUGUGUUGGUGUAUUUGGGUUUAUGUACUGUUGUUCUGGGGCUGUUUCUUGCCCUUCCCCUUCGUUGGGGUUUCAAUGAAAAGCAGAUUCUAGAAUCCGAUGUCUGGAUAUUCCGGAAAGACGUACGCUUGCUCAAUAUUCUCACUUCUACCCGUAAUUAGCUAACCGUACUAAAUCAUUCAAAAUUCCAUUUCACUGUAAGCUAGCUACGAAUAUAGAUGUAUAAACUUUGGAUCGGAAGUGUGUAACAGCAGGAGUUGAAUGUCGUGGUUUUGGUUGUUGGAUUGGAUUUGGAUGAUCAAAGCAGAGCAAAGCUUUGAACCCGAGACAGUUGAAUUGAAUGAAUACUUACGAAUGAAAAAUGUGCUAUUCUUUGGUCUUUGGAUAAUCAUACAAGAGACGCGUAAAACAAAACAAAAAACAAAAAGAAGCCAUAAACAUAGAUAACUUUCUAAUUAAAACCACACAAUACUAAUUAGAACCAAUCUAACCUAAAUUAAGACCACACAAUGCUCCAAAUUAAUUAGAACCUGUUCUAGUAUGAAAUAACAUUGGGUCCACCAACCCCCUAGAAAUCCAAUUCAACAAAGGCAAUAUAUAGCAAUAAAUAAACACUAACAAAAAAGAAAAAAGAAAAAAGAAAAUAUAAACCUGCUUCCUCCAGGAAACUUUGUUAACUGGGUAAUAACAAUGUAUGGAAGAGAUCCGUUCUCUACUUUAACUGGGUUAGAAGGUUUGUUCCUUUUUCUUUUUCAUCAUCUUUUUUAUUUUACAAGGGAAGAAACAAAUGUUAGGGAUUCGGGAUUGAGAUAAACCAAGCAAAACAAAAGUGAGAGAUAAACCUGGAAACCUGAUUCUUUCAGCAACUCUGACAACGCUUCCAUCUAUCUGAUUCCGUCGAAGAAACAGAACUAGGGAUUUGGGAUUGAGGAGGAUACAUGCCUGUGUAUGAUGUAUCGACCGAGUUAGUUGUUUUAUUCGUGCUCGGCUCGUGGGCCGGGUGCCAUCUCGCUUGACCACUUUUUCGGCUUUGGACUGGUUAACAGUACCAUGCACAAAGCUUUAGUGAAAACCAUUAAUUUUAUGUGAGAAUCAAUGUCAGCCAUCCAAACUGUGGGCCAAGUCACGGGUACAUCCGUAGCUUAUAUUAUGCUUUUUUAGUUAAACUCGUGUAAAUGAACGAAUAGUAUUUGCGUGAAGCCAUUGUGCAACAAAAUGCUAGGACACAACUAUGAUAUAUUCACUAAUCCGUAAUUGGAUUAAGAGGAAUUAAAAUGAAGAGGAGUUGGAUUGAGAAAAAUUAGAUCCUGAAUUUCUAUUGAAAUUGUUUACUAAAACAUAUGAAAUUGGGGUAUGAGUAAAAUGUCCUUAUUGUUGAGUUAAAGUACAUGAAAAUUUUAAAAAUUUCAAAAUUGUGUGAGGAUAUAAUGGAUUAAAAAAAAUCAAAUUCCUAAUGGAUUAGUUCUUCAGGAAUUAGAAUACCACCUCCUAUCCAAGAAUUGAAUUCCUCAAAAAUCAGGAAUUCAAUUCCUAAUUUUGUGUGGACCUCACUUACUUUUCAAUUCCUUGAUAUGCAUUAAGCGCAGGAAUCCUCCAUAGGUGAAAUUAAAUUCCUGAUUAGUAAACAAACCAUUAUUAGAGAAAUUUUACAGUAUAAAUAGUAAUAGAAAGUUACGUUGGGCAUACUUAAGAUCGAAGCAUGCACUUUUUCUUUCAAGGCUUAUUUGUUGAAAUGCCCUUUGUGGUUUCCAAAUAGUCUUAGUUUGCCCUAGCAUUUCAAAUGACUCAAUUUUCCCCCUGAACUUCCAUUCCGUGACCAAGGUUGCCUCAUUCCGUGAACAAGGUUUUAGAUAAAAUCAUUAAAUAAGCUGAAGUGACAUGAGUAUUUUGGUAAAUUUAACUAUUAAAAAAUAAAUAUAAAAAUGCUUGAAAUUAUUUAAAAUAUGUAUAUUAAAAAAAAAGAUAAAAAUAUCUCCUUUUUUUUUUCCUUCGUAAUCGUUAGUCCCCAAAGGUGGUGAGGGCUAACGAUUGAGGGAGAAAAAAAAAAGAUGGGAUUUUUUUAAUCAUAAUUUUUUUAAACCUAUUUUAAAUAAUUUAAAGCAUUUUUUUAUAUUUAAUUUGAAUUUUGAAAAGUUAAAUUUAUCACAAUACUCGUGCCACGUCAGUUGAUUUAACGGUUUUCAUAUGAAAACUAAUAGAAUGGGGCAACUUGGUGAUGGAAUGGAAGUUAAAGGGGAAAUUGAGUCAUUUGGAACUUCAAAGAGCAAACUACAACUAUUUGGAAACCAGAUUGAGCAUUUCAACAAAUAAGCCUUCUUUCAAAUAGACAUAAUGUCACAUCCCGGGAUCAGCUCCGCCGUAGCACGAUAUUGUCUGCUUUGGGCCCCCCUCUUUGCCCUCACGGUUUUGUUUCUGGGAACUCACGAGCAACUUCUCAGUGGAUCACCUAUCCUGGGAUUGCUCUAGCCCAAACUCGCUUAACUUCGGAGUUCCCAUGACUCCGAAGCCAGUGAGCUCCCAAAAGGCCUCGUGCUAGAUGGAGGCAGGCAUGUACAUACAAGGCACAUCACCCCUCUCUUUUAGUCGAUGUGAGAUGUUACUCAUAAGUUCCAAAGAAAAGAACUAAUUAAAAUAUAAAAAAUAAAAAAUAAACAACCACGAACGUAGAUAUUUAGUGCAAAGGAAACAACAGUAAAAAAGAAAAGCCAAACAUAAACGCAGAUAAUUUUCAGAGGGCGGGAUAUUGGAGUGAAUCUAAAACCUCUUCCGAGAACUUGUAUAGAGAAGGAUUUCCCGCCUCUGAGUCUCUGGAAAUGUUUCAAGAGGGAGUUCCAUGGGAAGAGGAAAAUUCAGAAAAAGAGAGAAAAUAAAGCCCAAAUAAUGCUAGUUGGAACCAACCCAAGCUGUUCUAGUAUGAAAUAGCAUUGGGUUGAUCAAGUAAAACAAUGCUCUCUACAAAAGAAUCCAUGAAGAGGUAGGACUUGGUGCAGCUCCCUUCCACUCGAAAAUCCUCGAAUUGUUUGGUGUUAGGGUCCAUCGACCGACAAAAUUGUCCAUCACGCCCACCCCGAUGCAACGCGAGCACUACUUGGCCACUCUUUCUGAAACCAAGCGGCCCGACCACAACUUCUUGCGGGGAUAUAGUGAAUAAUUUAGCCCAGGAUCCUGCAACACCAUACUCUUUCAUCACCCACAUGUGAACACGAACACAAUCCAUAUUUUUGUGACGUCUCUCAAAAAAAGCAAGGGAGUCCCGGUAUCUUGAAAGAUCGGAAACCUCUUUUCUCACGUAUACGAGAUGGGUGGCGUACGACUUCUUACUCCUUCUCACAGCUGUUUUGGGCAUGAGGAUCUUGCCAAAUAAUUCAGUGGACAAAUCAAAUGACACAAUGAAACUGUUUUCCUCGUCCCCAUGAAUCCAAUGCAGAACACCAUUAAGAAAAGCAGCGUGCCUUUGAGUAAAUUCUCCAAGCGAGAAUUUUGCAGGAACAACAUCAUCACUAAGCCUCUUCCAGGAGCCGCUGGAUAAGGACCAAAUCUCAACUGCACGCCUAAAGCCGAGAUAACUACUAACACUUCUCAAAACCUUAUAGUCGUUGGUAAGUGAAUCGUAUCCAAAUGCAUAGCUCGAUUUAUAUUUAUUUGGGUUCCAUGUAACCUUAACUUCCGUUAAGUUAACAACACUAGGCGGAGGCAAAAUCACAAACUUCCUAAUACAAGGGUUCCAAAUUAAUGUGGAAGUGUAACCAUGCAGGCAUACGAGCCCGUUACAUGUUCCGACCACCUCUUCACAGCAAUAUUUCUUUUUAUGACUUUCUUUAAUUUGAUUGUAAGCAGUUUCGAAUGGAUUUAGAAGCUUGGAAUACUCACUGAAAGAAGGGCUACUAUCCCAAUGCAGCGAGAAAAUACGUGCUUUUUCUCUGUCGCUGUAAUAGUUAAUCAGUAGGAGCUGACCAUCGUCGUUUUGCUUCUUGGAUUGAAUGAUUGUGCGGUUGAGGCGGGUGUGGAUGAAGGCAGAGCUUUGGAUUAGAGACCUCCAUGAUUUGCACACUGCGGUGCAUGUGAGUAGAGAUCUGAUGGGCAACAACAGCAGGAUGUCGUGGAUGAUAUCUUCAGGAACGUUAACUCUGUUAUCCGAUGGCACUGCUUCCGUCCAUCUAAUUCUUUUUUUUCGCCUGGUCAUUCCUGCCGUGCAUCUAGUUCUUUUUUUUGGCCUGGUCAUUGCUUCCGUGCAUCUAAUUCUUUUUUUUGGUUUGGUUGCUUCAGGAACCUUGCCCACUGAGAUUGUUUCCAUUGAUCUGAUUAACAAUCUCUCUAAUUCAAGUUUUCUUUUUGCUCUGAAUAUGGGGCUGGGGAGAAUAUAUAGACGUUUCCACCGACCCUUCUACAAAUCCGAUUCAACAAAGGAAAUAUAGCAAUAAAUAAAUACUAAAAAAUAUAAAAUAUAAAUCUGUGGUUUCUUCGGAAUUUUGUUCACUAACAAUGCUAUUUGAGUUUAACUAGGUAACAAUGUUUGGAAGAGAUCCGUUCUCUACUUUAACUGGGUUUAGAAUGUUUGUUCCCUUUUAUCUCUCAUCAUUCUUUUAAGGAUUUGGGAUUUAGAUAAACCAAGCCAAAAAAAGAAAGAAAGAGAUAAACCUGGAAACCUGGUUCCUUCAGGAACUCAACAAAAGUAGGGAUUUGGGAUUGAGGAGAUUAUAUGCCGAUGUUUCGACCGACUUAAGUAUUAUAUAUACCCAUCUUUAUCUCCGUUGAGUAUUUUUCUCACAUCCUCUUCAUGCAAUAUUCAAAUUGGGGAUUCUUCAUUACCACCUUCGUUAGGGAAUGAGUUCCCCAAUCCUUCCCAUAGCGAAAAAAUAAAAUAAAAACAAAAACCUACUUUUUUGAACGAGAAAAAAACAUUAUGAGCACAGCAUAUCCAUUAAUUCAAGAGAUAUUUAGUCAUAUACUCAUUCUUAGCACUAAUAAGAUAGAUAAACUCUACACCAUUAAAUUUCUAUAAACAAACCCAAAAAAUACCAAAAAAAUGAAAGCUGGCCCUAUUAAAUUUAAUUUUGAUUAUUAAAUUACUUUCAUGCCUUAUUGAGUGUUUUGGAAUUUUUUUAUGAGAUUUUGGGGUUGGGUCUAUUUUAAGAAAUCUAUGGCAGUUUUGCAAUUUAAAAGAAGUUAAAAGCCUUUUUGUUAUAUCAUAAAUGGGCUUUGGGUGUGUUUCUAAAGUCUAUUCCAUAGAGGUUUUUUUUAAAAGGUUAAAUGUCAUUUUUGAUACCUGUAGUUUAGCACUUCAACCAUUUUUGACCUGUAGUUUCAAUUCCGUCAAUUUUAACCAUGUAGUUUCAUAUUUGUAGCAAUUUAAGGACAAGUUAGUAUUCUUGUCAAUUUCAUUGACGAUGCAAUGGGCAAUUUCGCCAACCCAAAAUCCUUGAGCAUAAAAGCUCAUCUGUAACUCCCCUAAUUUCAUAUUAGGGCUUGAAAUUGGUCAUUUGGAUUUAGGGUUCUUCAAAAAUUGGGAUUAGUGGUUGAAUUUCGAGCCCUAAUAUAAAAUUGGAAGAAUUUCAAACCGGCUUUUACACUAAAGGUUUUGGGUUGACGAAAUCACCCAUUGCAUCUUUGAAGAAAUUGACAAGAAUACUAACGUGUCCUUGAAUUGCUACAAAUACUUAACUACAAUGGAAAAUUUUGUCACAUCCAGAGAUCGACUCCGCCGUAGCACAAUAUUGUCCGUUUUGGGCCCCCUCUCUGCCCUCACGGUUUUGUUUCUAGGAAUUCACGAGCAACUUCCCAGUGGAUCACUCAUUCUGGGAUUGCUCUUGCCCCAACUCGCUUAACUUUGAAGUUUUCAUGACUCCGAAGCUAGUGAGCUCUCAAAAGGCCUCGUGCUAGAUGGAGGCGGGCAUGUACAUAUACGGCAUAUUACCCCCUCUUCGUUGGUCAAUAUGGGAUGUUACAAAAUUGACGGAAUUGAAACUACAUGAACAAAAGUGGUUGAAGUGCCAAAUUACAAGGACCAAAAGUGACUUUUGGUUUUUUUAUAAAUAAUUUGGGCUCCUAUAUUUGGUAUAAUAGUGAAUCUCCCUUGAUUCAAUUUUUAUUAACUAAAAUUUAGACUGCUUAAAAAAUAAUUGAUACAUAUCAAAACUAUAUGUCCAAAACAUUAUCAUUAUAAAGUUAGAACCACCAUCACUGAUCUUAAUAAUAUAUAUAUAUAUAUAAAAUAAAUUUUAUAUAUUCUAAACAGGGCGGGUUUGGGUUUGGUAUUAGAAUACCAUCCCCAACCCUCAUUGAACACUAUAACAGGAAAAAAAAAAAUCAUUAAAGAAUUUCCAAUUUUGGCAAGAUGCCCCAUUUUAUACCCAGAUAGUAAAGUCGUUUAUAUACAAGUUAAGAAAGCCCAUUUCCAUUACAUAGAAUAAGCUACAGUGUCUGACAAAAAAAGAAUAAAAUGCAUUGUUCUUCACGUCUCUCUUGUGGCUGCAUAUUAGCUUAUAAUCAGUGUUUUCCUAACAUAUUUAUUUACUCCACAAAUUCAAUUGAGUCCAACUUAGGAUUGCCAUUUGUCCCAUGGGCUCAUGGCCGAUGGGGGUCUGCCAUGCCAAUUGAGAAAAAGCUCAGCCCGACCUAUUAGUUAGUGAGUUGGGUUUGGGCUUAGGUGCUUAAAGUUUAGUCCAACUCAUAGACCCAGGCCCGUUUGAGCCCACAAAGGUCCAACUCGUCCCACUCAUCAAAGCUAGGCCCGUAGGUCAAGAUUUAAUUAUAUUAUAUAUAUAUAACUUAAUAUAUUGGGUUUAUUAUAUUAUAUUAUAUUAUAUAUAUACAACUUAUUAUAUUUCCUUCUCUGUUGCUAAAGAAUGAAAUGAAAUAGAGACAUACACAAGGGGUUUCAAUUCAAACCCCUACCAUUUUUAUCCUACUCCCACACCUUAUUCACUAGGCUACAUAAAACUUUAUGAUUAUAUGCUACACCAUUUGAUAUUUAUAUAUGCUACAGACACAUCUCAUCGAGUAAAGGCACAUCAGAUCUUCUCUUUGUAAUUUUUUAUUUUUUUAUCUUUUCUAUCAAGCGAUGCAUGUCCAUUUUUUAAUUAAUACUUGCACAAACUCCAAAUGGCCCCCGCAAAUCCUGGGUGACAUGUCUAAGACAAAUCCCCGCAAAUCCAACAAUCUCCGUAAUAGACAUGAGAAAGAAGAGGGAAACCAAUGCCAUUAUUAAUCAUUAUUAAUGAAAAUCUGUGCCAUGGGCGGUUUUACCCACAGGGCAGGGUGGGCUUCUGCCGAGCCCAAAAUUUUCAAAAAGACAAAUAGCUAGAUAUGUUUAUCCUAGCCCAAAAGAAAGGUUGAAAUCCUAUUUAUAUCUACCCAGCCAAAAUAAAUAAAUAAACCCUAUUUCUAUCUUCAUUGUACUACAAAGUACGCUUCACUUGUCCUACUGAAAUUUUUCCCAUCAUGCUUUUCUUAUAGACUGAAACUUUCCUUUGAACAAUGAACAUUUUCUCUUUUUCUCUUUCUCCUCGCUAUCUUUCUCCAGUCAUCUUCUUCAUGAUUCUCUCUUUUUUCUUUGAUGUGUCUUUAUUGUAGAAUUUGAGUUUGUUAUGAUAAAUUGAAUUUAAAGCUUGUCGAAUUAGGAUUUCUGAAUUGAAUUGGGGCAUGUGAAAUAAGAGCUUUGAAUUGUGAAUUAAGUUCCUCAAAGUUGGAGAAAUUAUAUAAUAUGUUCUUUUAAGCCCAAAAGGAUUUUUUUUUUUUUGGGUCAAAAUGGUUUAUUAAGGUUCAAAUGAAUGUAUGAUAUUUUUUAAGCCCAAAAGUGGUCUUCAUUUUCUUUUAAAAAAAUUACAUAUUUAAUGUUGAGUGCAUGUACAUAAGGGGCCACAAUUUAGAAUUUGGCCUUGGGCCUUUGAAAAUUAUGAUCGGCUCUGUUCAUUCGUAUAAUUGAGUUUAGUGUGUAAGUUUUGCCCGAUCUAUUAUCAAAUCUUGGAUCCACCACUGAUAUGAACACCUAAUUAAGUUUAUAUAUACAGUUUGAAUAUAACUCGAUAUUAACCUGUUGUUGGAGAGCAAAAAUUUGUGAAACGCAUCCAUAUGUAGAAUCUUCAAGCUCGACGUAAGCUUCAUAAGCUAUCGUCAUCGCAACUCCUCAACGUUCGCUGGUGAAAAGAUUAGAUAAAAGCUUGGAUAUACUGGAUGCGCCAAAAACCAUGUGCGCGGGUGCAAAAUGGGCAUUAGCAUCUUCGUUGCUGGAAUAUGGUGCAUAAAUGCAGCCACUCACACAAUUUCUUCUCAAAUAUUUGUAGGCUUCACAUGGGAUAUCAGAACCAAACAUGGCUGCAAGAAGAAAGAGGAAGAGAGAACUGUCGCACAUAUUUUCCUUAAUAAUGAUUAAUAAUGGCAUUGGGUUCCCUCUUCUCUCUCUUAUAUGUUACGGAGAUUAUUACUGGAUUUGAGGGGAUUGAUCUUAGACCUAUCACCUGGGAUUUGCAGGGGCCUGUUGGGGUUUGUGCGAGUAUUAAUUAAAAAAUGGACACGUAUCGCUCGAUGGAAAAGACAAAAAAUUAAAAAUUAAAAUAAGAAUAAUAACAUAGAGAGAAUCCGAUGUGCCUUUACUUGAUGGGAUGUAUCUGUAGCAUAUACAAAUACCAAAUGAUGUAGCAUAUAAUAAUAAAGUUGUCUGUAGCAUGGUGGAUAAGGUGUGGGAGUGUGAUGAAAGUGCCCUAAUGUGUGUCUUCAUUUCCUUUCAUGUUUUAGCAAGAGAUAAGAAAAUAUAAUAAGUUAUAUAUAUAUAUAUAUAAAAUAUAAUUAACCCAAUAUAAUAAGUUACAUAUAUAUAUAAUAUAAUUAAAUUUGGGCCUACAUGCUGGGCUUUGAUGGGAUGGCCGGGUUGGGCUUUUUGGGCUCAAACAAGACAGGCUGGGCUUUUAGCACUUAAGCCCAAGCUCAGCCCACUAACGGGCCGAGUCGGGCUGGCCCAUGGUCCAUAACAAUGAUAAAAUGAGCCGGGGCAGACGGGCCCCCAUUGACCUAUGAGCCCAUGGAUUAAAUGACGAUCCCUACCUUUCUACCCCUUAUUGCUUGAGAAAGUACUAGCAGAUGUGGAGUGAGAUUUUGUUCCUAAAAACAUGGCCUAGGGAAUACAACAAGAUUAGACUUAAUUUAUCUCUAUAGACAACUAGCAGGGUUGGUAAAAGUCCACUUUAAUUCCAUUAGAAUCUAUGUAUCUAAAUGAAACAGAAUUUCAAGGCAGUGACAAUAAAUAACUAAGCAUUUAGUUUGAGUUCAUAUAUUCAGUUUUCCCUUCAUCAAGUGCCAAGACUAUGAACAAUAACAACCCAACUGCUUCUAGUGAAAAAAAAACUAAAAGAUAAAGACCUGCGAAGAUAAACUGAUAUGACCAAGCCAAGGGCUAAAACUUGUAAUUGCCAACAUGCUGAAGUUCUAAUUGUUAAUAUUCUCAAUGCGGCUAGCUAAAUCAGUCUUCUGCUAUACUUGAAUUACAACAGCAGACUAGGAAAGAGUUGGGAACGAAACUGUUUCACUCCAACUAGCAAAGAAAUCAAAAUCAGCAUAAGUCUCAUGCACCAAUUGUUGCAAUUGCACUAGUACAGGCAAAACCUUGGUGCCUUGGAACAUUUGAAUUAGGAAUUUCAGUGAACAACACAACAAUGCACAUAUGAACAGCUGGAUCAAACUGCAAAAAUUUAUAUAACUUCUUAUCUAUACAAGGUCAAAAUUCAGCCAAAUCAACAAAACCAAAUUCACACAACCAUAGUCAUUUAUUCAUUUGUGGUAAGGAGCAAGAUAGCAGGGUGUAGGGUGUAAGGUGUGAGGUUGAUGGGGAAUUUUUUUUUUUUUUUUUCUUAUGUUAGGUGUGUAUUUAGGGGUAGUUUAGGAACAUAAUGGGUUUUUCUAAAAAAUUGUGAAAUUUUGAAUUCGAAGUUGGGUGAACAAAGAGACAUGCGGGGUUUAAAUAGAAAAACCCUUUAUAAAAUGUUGAUUUCACAAAGAGUUAUUUACACUAACAUCAAAGGGUGGACCGAUGAAUUUUUCAAUAGGUGGGCCAGUAAUAAUAAUAAUAAUAUAGAAUUACAAAAGACUGAAAGAAAAACACAUAUUUUGUCUUAUCCAACUGUUGGGGGCUUUUGUUGAGAGCUACAAUGGGCUUGUUGGACUACUGCAAAGUAGAUCGAGCUCUCUUGCGCCCCUAUCCGAGUUUGCGGCACCAGGUCCCAAAACACCUUGAAAGAGUUGAAACCUUAGGGAGUGCUUUGGUCUUCUUCAAUGGCUCUUCAGUACAUUGAAAGUUUUGAUGAGAAAGGUACAUCAGCUACUGUGAAGCUAUUGCUUAAUGAUAGAGGUAGAGCAGAUGAUGCGGGGUUUGCUUGAAACAUAGUGGAACAGGUGUUCCAGCAGCUGCUACUUGUUUGACUGGGCUUCCGGCAGCUUGACGAAUGCUUGGUCGCACCUUUGGAUUUCUCACCAAAAAGGUGAUGCCCAUGAUUUCAACUCGGCUUCAGAAAAUAAUUGUUUCAGAUCUGGAAUAGGAUUUUUGGAGAGAGAGAGAGAGAGAGAGAGAGAGAGAGAGAGAGAGAGAGAGAGAGAGAGAUAGAGAGAGAGUGGGAAAGAGAUACGAUGGAGAAAAGGAUAUAUAUAUAUAUAUAAUGAUAAGAUGGAAGAACCAAAGCUUGAAUCUGGUGCUUCCAGCAGCGGGGAAGUAUGCUUGCCCUUCUUCUUGAGUUUAAGAACCAGGCCCCAAGAGUGCUUCGAAAAACUUGUGGAGCCUUAGAAAAUACUUUGGUUCUUCUCACCAACAAGAUAGAAAAUUGUUACAGAUCAAUAUUAUGGCUUGGCAUGAGAAGCUUGUAGCAUGGGAGCUAAGCUUUCACGAGUUUAAAAGUAGAGAGAAAGAGCUUGAAUUUCUUAUGGAAACGAAGGUUUAGAGCAAGGGGUAGAAAGAAAUCUGGGGGGAUUUUGACUAAGGAAGAGAGUGAGAGAUGGAAAUAGAGAAUGGAGUGUCUUGAGUAAAUUUCCAACUGCUUGACAAAGAUUGGUCGCGCUCCUGGAUUGUGUCUUUGCUGGGUAGAAGGUGCCUCUUUUUAUAGGCGCUGGAACCCUCAAUUUUAUCAGGCAUCUAUCUCCAUUUCUCUUCACUUUCUUCCAUUUCAACCUCAUUUAGUGAAACUUCCCCAGUGUGCGCACUUAGGCACGAAGCCUUUUUGGGGUUCCAAGAUCUUCACACAGCUGGAUUUCUUUAUGUGGGUGAGGCGCCCACCACUUUUCUCUCUGGUUUUCCUAUUUGAGCUUGCAGAAGAAAGGAACAUGGGUAGAUGCAUUAGUGUAAUGGGUAUUCCUCCUACGCAUAUGAAUUUCCUUUAGUUUUUGCAGUGGCUUACCAUUUGACUUGGUUCUGAGGCUUUUGACAAUGCUAGAUACGAUGCUAGAUAUUUUAUAAGGUACUGAGCUGUGCUUUUUUCUAAGGUAUUGGGUCAUUGACAUUCUAUAUCCAGCUGCCUGUGAGUUUGGUUUGGUCAAGCUGCUGAAAGUAGCUUAUUUGCUUUGUUUUUUACAAGGUGUUGGAUGUCUUAGCUGAUGUAGGAUUUUUCUAAAUGUUGCAGACCAUUGGAUAUUCUCCAAAAAUAUUGGGUCACUUUUCUCUCUCUCAUGCUUACUCAUAUGUUUGGGCUCAAGAAAUGGACUUGAGUUUAGGUGCUCCCAAGCAGCCCAAAACUUUCAUUCCUUGAACCUUCAGUGGGCCUCAUGAAUACUCGUAACCAUUCAUACCACAACCCGCUCAACAAUCCCCAGGCAUUCGAGUAACUUCAGCCCACUUAAGCUUGUAGCAUAGCUUGAUGCCAAAAUAAUGUUUUAAUUUGGCGUUGCACGUUGCUUGGCGUGUUUGUGCUCGAGCUUUCCCGUAUUGCAGUGGGCUAUAGCCGGGCUAAACGAUGCUUGACAGGACAGUAAACGCUGGUUCAUAGAACCAAUAUAUUUUACAGGCUCGUUACGGCCUCUCUGCAUGGUGUGUUUGCUUGGCGUGGCAUGUGGACCAUAACUUGCGUAAGCGCAUACGACAAGUUCUUGCAUACCCAAGUCAGGCUUCUUUCCUAGUUAAGUGUUGUAUUGGGCCAAAAAUAUAUUUGGGCCCAAACUUAGAUUUUUUGGGCCUCAACACCAGCUAACACAGUGUUAGGACUCAAGAUCCCAUAUUGGAAAAAGAACAUAUCAUAGAGAGCUCGUUUUGUACACUGUAUUAGACUCUGAAUAUGAGUAAAUAGUUCAUGUCAAGUAUUUGGUGUCAACUUAUAUUAUUUAAUUACAUGACUAUUUUAAACGGGUUGGACUUUUAAUAUUCUCCUUACCUAACUAACUAAUACAACCCACACACCCCGAUUUAGAUAAUACCAAGGUGGAUUCAGGAAUUUUACUAAGGUGGACUAAUUUUUUUUUUUCUUUAAAGCAAUUGGCAUCCUUGCCGCGAGUGCGGGAGACUUUUUUCCCAUCACGUGUGUGUAGUGCAACUUACAAUUUUUCAAAAACAAUUUCCUAUCACAUGAGUAGUGCGACUCAAAAUUUAACAAACAAACCCUAAAUCAUAAAAACUUAACAAUAACAAUUAAAAUUGAAAAUAAAAUAAAAAUAAAGAGAGAAACUUAACAAGAUUAAAGAACCCACUAAAGAUAUGUCGAUACAAUUUUGGAGAGGAAGAUAGCCACUUCUUCUUUGGUUCUCUCGUGCUUUUAGGCAAAUUUGUUUGUUUGGCUUGGCUUGCUUCCUGGUUGGAGGCUUGUUUUUUUUUUUUUUUUUUUUUGGUCAAAUGGUUGGAGGCUUUUGUCCUAUUAUUUUCUUCUAUUUUUUUUGGGCUUAGUGGAUUCCUUAUCCACUCCUUAUGUGUGGGGUUAAAGAUGACUAAGUGGGUAGCCUUCUUUUUAUAUAAAGUGAUAGGCUGGUUUCUAAAAUUCAUAAGUCUGCCUGCACCUUUAAGCUUAUUUACUAAAUCAGGACUGGGAUGGAGUGUUGAUCCGUUGUUGGAUAAUACAUGCUUAAUUAUACAAAGUGGUUUGAGAGCUCAUAGGCAUCCUUCCCUUACAAGCCAGUUUUUAGGGGCAAGUUUUUUUUUUUUUUUUGUCAGAUAUGGGCAAGUUCUACACAUGGGUUCUUAACAUUUGGUAUCAGAGCCUAGCACCAUGCAACUAGGCCCAAGCGACCAUUAAGCUUAAUUAAGAUGAUAUCGAGUCAUUGAUCCCACAUUUGAAAAAUAGAAUAUCAUAGAGUGGUUUAAGAGCUUAUAGGCACCCUUCCGUUACAAGCCAGUUUAAAUUCUACCCAUGUGUUUUUAACACACAAUUUAACUUCCAGGCAUGGAUUCAAGUCAAACAGUUAAUGAAAAAUGUGAUCUCUUUUUCAACACUGGAAUAAUUAAGAUACUUUCCCAUUACAAAAUAUUGCUCCAUAAAACAUGGUUUAUAUUAGGUCUGGGCACGGAUCGAUUUGGAAUGGUAGAAGGUUCUUCCAACCAAACCAAAGACUUCAGAUCAGUUAACCUAAUAUUUGAUUCAGAUUGGUUCGGUACUCCGAUAGUACUGUAAUAAAAAACAUACUAUAAAAAUACAAUUUAUAAAACUUUCACAUAACAUAAGUUCUUGAACAAAUACACCAAAUUAUCCUUGUAAAAUAUAAAAAUCCAAUAGUCUAAUUCAUCGAAGUAUGAAAUCAAAUAACUUAGUCACUAUAUCAUUCAAUAUAUACUCAAGAUGUACUGGGAGCCACUUGUGUUUGUUAUUUGAACCUUUGAGUGUUCUUUUUACUGAAUUCUCUACAUUUAUGUAAAUAAUUUUGACAUUUGUUCCACGUUGGGUUUUUUAGUUUUCAUGCUGAAUCCAACCAUAUAAAGAACAUAAAAUUUGGAUUAAAGAUUGGAAAGUUACAGGUAAAUAAAGGAGACAAAGGUCGAAACUGGAAAACAUAGGAAGUUCAUAAAUUCCUCUCUCACCAAAAAGUGCUACAAUGCUUGGGAUACAAUAAUGAUAAAGCAAUGAUACAAUGGUGAUAAAAAAGUGAUACAGCAGUGAUACAAAAUGUUGAUUGUAUUUACCUUUGGUUUCUUGUUUUGUAUUUAAAUAAUAAAAUAAGUAUAAAUAUCAGAUCGAUAUGGGUUUCCGUCCGGUUAGGAAUAUUGUUUCUGUUAACCAAACCAAACCAAACAUUUCGAUACGGAUCGAAUCAGAUCGAAAUAAUUAAAAUUAAAAAAUAAUUAUUUAACCAAACUAAAUCAAACUGUCAAUACAGUACGAUCGUUACGCAGAUAAUUCGGAUAAGAUCCCCACCCCUAAUUUAUAUAAUGUUGCAUGUUAUUGUUUUUAAUUAAACUAUUGAAUUCUACUCAUGUUGUGUCACUGCCAACUGCAUAUUACUAUACCGUAGACAUAGACAUAUAAUUUCCAAACAAAACCAUACCAUACACAUGGUUAAUAAAAGAAUCCAUAAACCGGUACUAGCUACUGUGCCAUCUAUUCCAACUUUAGAUCACCCAACAUCCCUACGAGUACGAUACGAACACAACUUCACCACCCUUCCUAAAACCAAACGGCUUCACCAACAUUCCUUCACAGCCAAGCAGCCCAAUUUCUUGCGGGCGUAUAGUGAAGAAUUUAGCCCAUGAUUCUGCAACACUAUACUCUUUCAUCACCCGCAAGUGAAAACAAGAAACAUAAACACUUCCAUCGGACCGCCGCUUUUCAUGUUGCUCAAAGAAAGCAAGCGAUUCGCUGUAUCUUAAAAUAAACAAAGCAAAAAUAUGUUCCCACACCCAUUCUUCUGCGUCUCCGCAGAGUGGCUUUGAGCAACAGGAUCUUGCCAAAUAAUUCAGCGGACAAAUCAAAUGACACGAUUAGGGGUGGGCAUCAAAACCGAAUAACCGAAUUAAACUGGACCGAAGAACAUUUAAAAAAAAAAAACAUGUUGACCAAAAAAUCAAACCUAAUUCAAAAAACCGAACCAAACCGUCUCCAAUCGAUUCCCGUUCCAGUUUUAUACCCCAACAAACUGAACUGGACUGAACCGAACAUGCCAAAUUAAAAAAUAUAUAAUUUUAAUAUUUAUUUAUAUCUAAUGCUAUAUUUUUAAUCUCAUAACUAAUAUUUACCCAAGUUCAAUUUCACAACAUCUCUCUUUUCUAGCCUCAAUAUUUAUGUUUGUAUGAAAUUGGAUAAUUUGUUAAUUUUCAAGCCAAAAAAUAAAAUUUCAGUUGAAAUUUGUAUAAAAAAAUCAUUUGAAAUAAUAAUAAUCAGGUUCAAAACCGAACCAGGCCAGAACCGGAUCGAAACUAGUUCAACCUGAAUUGGACAAUUUUAUAAAUUUUUUUGUUAAAACUAGACCAAGCUGAACCGAAUAAAUAAUACCAGUUUUGGUUCCAAUCUGAGGCAAAAACCGGCCGAAUCAAACCGUGCACACCCCUAGACACGAUUAGCUUAUCGUCCUCGUGUAUAACAGACUACCACAUCCAAUGCAGAGCACCAUUAACAAAAGCAUGUUUAUUAUCAUCGGUAGGCCCUCCAGGUAGGAAGUUUGCAGGAACACCAGAAAAGCAACACUACGAAUCUUAGAGCCGUAUAUAUAUAUAUAUAUAUAUAUCUCUCUAGCAGAAAAACAAACCCCCUACCCCUUCAGCGCCGCAUCUUGGGGGGGAGGUGGUCUACCCCUCCUCCCCUCCCCUCCUCUUCCUCCUUCUUCCUCCUUGAAUCACACUUCCCUUAUUCUCCCCUUUUUCCAAUCUGGUGGGAUGAAGACCAUGGGCAUGAUUUCCCCUAUCACCACCAUCUUUACCUUGGUAAUGCUUCAUACUGACCCCAAAUCCAUGGUUCAUCUAGAUUCCUUCACCUCCCCUUUGAUCUGGCCUCAUCCUUGGUUUGCAGCUACAAAUUUUAAAAGCAUUUUGGCCCGUAUUUAUUGGAAGGUGUGUAGAGCUCUAGCUCGGGUGUUUGCACCACCUCCUUCCAGGUUCUUGGUUCUUUUCCUCCUGACUGUGGAAUGGGUUUUCUCAUUCUUUUUUUGUUGGCUGCUGUCUUUUAGAUGUAUUAGUUUGGUUAAUUCUGGAUAUGUUAGUGAAUCUCGGGUGGGCUAUGUUUUGAGGGAUGUUUGGCUUGGUUUGCUGACUUACGGAUGUUUGGUUCUUCAUGGUGAUGAUUGGUGGUUUGUCCAUCUACAGUCGUGGAGUUUCUCUUUACUGGUGGUGGCGGCUUGGAGUUUCUCUUUGGUUGUGGCGGCUAGGUUUCCUGUGCUUUAUUUUAUGUAUUUUAUAUUUACUGUGGGCUUUAUGCUGAAUGUGGGCGUAAUGCCUCUUUGUGGGCUAUAUGCCUUUAUGUGGGCUAAAUGCCUUUAUGUGGGCUAAAUGCCUUUUUGUUGGCUUAUGACAUUUUAGUUUUUGGCUCGGGAACAUGAUCUUCAUGCUAUACUGUACUAGUUUUAGCUAGAUUUGUUUGUGUUUGUUUUCUGUUAGUUUUAUGGUCGGUGCUUUUACUCGGCUUUUUUUGUACUGUUCUCUACCCCCUUGAGGGUUUGCAAUGACUUGCAACUUCGACCAAAAAAAAAACACUAAGAAUCUUCCAGGAUCCCCUGGCCACAGACGAAUCUCAACUUCAUGUUCAUAGCAGACAUGCUUUACAAUUCUCAAAACCUUAUAGUCGUCUGUACGCGAAUCAUAGCCAAAUGCAUAUGCCCGAAUAGGGUAACACGAGGCAGAGGCAAAAACAAAAACUUUCUAAUACACGGGUUCCAAAUUAAUGUGGUAAUGCGCUGAUCAUGGAGGCAUAUGAGCCCGUUACAAGUUCCGGCCCCCAACAAAUAUUCUUUUGUUAGUUUAUAGUCUUCUUGACGUCUUUUAAUUUCAAUGUAAGCGACUUUUAGAUGAGGGCUUAUUUUUUAACCGUUUGAUCAAAUUAACUAAUUUAAUGUAACGAUUAAGAGAUAGAGUUUUAUCUAAGGGCCUUAGAUAAGACCCUAACUAUAAAAUUCCACCUUAGUAGAAUACCUUUUAAAUAAAUAUUUAUAGGUGGGGGGGUGUUGGUGGUGUUGUUAUUAGGACUACAAUUACAAAAGACUAAAUAUAAGAAGCUAUAUGAUUGUAAUUUGUAAGUGUGAGUUAAAAUUCACAACCUCAAGAUUUAAUAAGAACCAUUCAACUUUGAACAAGUCAAGGAACUCAAUAAAUUCUGCAACUGCGAGCUAAUUUCGAUCUUUGAUAUGCCUCUCUUGUGCCCUCAGCUAUUGUGUGACAAUACAAUAGAAUACGAUGUCGUUUGCGGUGCCUGUCCCUUCAGCUGGACCAAGCGCUCCGCCUCUGUCAAACCCCGUGGUCGUGGUCAACUCACAGUUCCUAUCAUCCUACCCUGUGGAUCUAGUCAUUAGCGAGAAGCUCAUGACCAUUAAGGAGGGCUCAUUUUCUAUCUCCGAUGUUAACGGCAACGUCAUGUUCAACGUUAAAGGUUCUGUUCUCAGCCUUCAUGAUCAUCGUGUGUUGGUUGACAGCGCCGGUGCUCCAAUCGUCACAUUUCGACAAAAGGUACAUACAAAAAUUAAAUCACAUUGUAAUUUGUAUGUGCCAAUUAAUAAUACUGCUUGUUCUAAAUUGUUAUGUUUUUUUCUUAAAUUUUGAGCAUUAGAUAUUGACAGCGCAUAGGAGAUGGCAAGUAUACAGAGGAGAUAGCUCAGACAGCAAAGAGCUACUUUUUAGUGCCAAGAAGUCGGGGAUUAUUCAACUAAAGACUGAAUUGGAUGUGUUCUUGGCUUCUAACACAAAAGAAGACACCCAUGAUUUCAAGGUCAAAGGCAGUUUUAAGGAAAGAUCAUGCACCAUAUAUACUAAAGAGAACACCAUCAUUGCACAAGUAAGAUCAAUCAUAUAGUUAAAUUCGUUCCAUUGAUUUUAUUUAUUUUAUUUAAUUUUUUUAAGGUAAAUGAUAGAAAUGGAUGAGUGGUGAUAUUUAUAUUUAUGUUACAGAUGCAUAAGCAAGGUGGUGUUAAAAAUCGUGUGUUAGGACAAGAUGCGUUUUCAGUGACAGUGUACCCUCAGGUUGAUUUCGGAUUUAUAGUUGCUGUUGUGGUGAUUCUUCAUGAGAUUAAUCAGGAUCGAAAGGGGGAAGAUUAGCGAAGCUGAUCAUAAUUCAUUUGUAAUAAGUUAGCUGCUACUUGAAUUUUCAUCAUAUGAAUUGAAUAAAAUGAUUUCCUUAAUUAUACUAAUGUCAUUUCAAACCAAUCAAGACCUUGUUGUGUAACUUAAACUAUGAAAAACUUUUACAUUUUAGUAUAUUUAAUUUCUAUCGGGGCAUGUUUACUUUGCAAUUUAUCAAUUUAAGCGAUAUUGGAAGAAGAGGAAAUCGGAUACAAUACUUUGAGUGGUAGAACUCAAGUUAUUAGCAUAUUGAGGGGAUUAAAAAAAAACAAGCGAAAAAAGAAAAGAAGGGCCCGGGGCAAGAUUAACCACAAAGGCAAGGGGCAUGCACAAACAUAAUAGAUCGAAUUGAUUGGACUUGAUCAACUCAAUCCUUGAUAUUAAUCGCCAUUAUCAAGGUUAAUUGCAUCAAGAAUCACAAUAAGCGCAACUAUGAAUGCAUAAUCAAUACCAGGAGAAAUUGUCACUAUGAAAGUAUCAUUGGCAAACAAGUUAGCAGUCUGCUUCUUAUGCAUCUGCAAUAUUUCCUACAACAUUCUGAGUCAUUAUAUUUUUCCAUAUAGAAAAGAAGUAAACAAAUGAAAUCACUAUAACAAGUAGUUUAUCAACAAAUUAAGGAAAUAUAUCGAUCUUAACUUGGGCAAUGAUGGUAGAAGACUUCCCAGCAUAUAUGACGCAAGAUCGUUGGAGCCAACUUCCUUUGAUUUUGAAGUCACGUGCAUUCUCAGUGGUGUUAUUUGCUAAGAAAACAUGCAAUGUGGUCUUCAAUUGGAACCCUGAAGAGCGCUUAGCACUAAAAAUCAAAUCCCUUGAUUCUUUGCUAUCGCCCCUAAACACUUGCCAUCUAUCGUCGAAACUCAUUAACUACGUAUAUAUGCACAUAUACACAAAUCAACAAGACUAUCGCAUGAAAUGAGGAUGUUAAUUCAAAUCUCAUAGACGACAGUUCUUAAUUAAUUAACAAACGUUACAUCGAGGUAGAGUGAGAAUGGGAUUUCCAGCAGGGUCAAUUAAGAGUCGACGCCCGAUGGAGUGAGAGUGUUUAUGUUCCACUUUGAAGAUGAUAUUGACAUCGAUGCGAGUGACUACAAGGUUGCCUACAGUGAAGGAGAGCAUGCCUUUUCUUACAAUUCUAAUAGCAUUCAUAGUGGCGAGGUGUAUAUAGAGAUGCAUGUCUAAAUCCUAAAUUCUAAUGUCUUGCAAUAGGGAGGUGUAUACGGCUGUAAAUAUAGAUCACAGUCAUGAGAUGGGAAAAAAUAUGCAAAUGUACAUCUAAUUUUACACCCAUUCAAGUGGGUCCCGUAACAAAAAAGUCGAGAGAAAUGAGAGGAAAACUGCCUAAAAGAUGGGGAACUUAUUAAAAUAGUGGGUCCAAGACAUGGCUAAGAUUUAUUAAAAUGGGGAAGUUAUUAAAAUGAUGCAAAUGUACAAAGUUCUUCUCUAACAACUCUCUAAUGUAUGGUCAGAUUUCAUUCAAAUUGAAAUAUAAAACUAAUUAAUGGUGAAAAAUAAAUUCAUAUCAAAGUCGAUGGUUCAGAUUAAUUUUAUUUACAUCAUAUUGAAUGAAAUUAUAUCUUAUCGAAAUUUAAAAAAAUUUAGGUCGAUUUGUUUAGAAAAAAUAAUUAAACCUAACACACACAAAAUCAACAUAAAAAAAUUUAACAUAAAAAAUAAAUUAAUACAAGAAAAUUGGAUUUACAUCUUUGAAUUUGCAUCCAACUCAUUUGAGCAAAAAAUAACAUUUGCAUCUCUCGGAGGUGUAACAGAGAUGUAAAAGUGACUUUACACCUCUGAAUUUACAUCUCCCCACUGUGGAUGCUCUAAUAUCAACAAAAUGGUGGGGCUACAGUACCGACGGCUGGUGAUGGGAACAAAGUUAGGGAAUAGUACACUUCGUGUUAGCAUCAUCAUUAUGAUAAUUAAGAGAGAUUAAUGUGUGAUCAAGCCCUUGAUUUAUGUUAAUAAUAAGGUUUCCUUGUUGUAUUUACAGAUAAGGCCACGUCAUAAUCAUAUGUACGUGAAAUGUAAUGUUUCUUUCAGAGUCAUCGUUGACUACUAGGACAUGAGAAUUGAUGAAUUCUUAUUCUAAAAAUUCUAUGUGAAUAGGUUUGGCUCUUUCCUCCUUUCUAUAUUAAUUAUAUGUUUGACAAAACGCUAUGGUCCAAAGUUGGAAGUUAACUCAUAAUUUACGUGAUGAUGUGAUGUUGUUAUUUUCUUGGAAGGAAAUUAUGGGCCGCUGUUUUGUUGGACGGAAAUGAUGAGCUGUUGUUUUUCUUUCUUGGAAAACAUUGAAAGGAAACUAUUGGACAAGGGUAAAUGAAAGGGAUAUGUUCUAGUUGAAUUUGAUCUAAAAUUCAAGCAAUUGUCAAAACAACUGAGUGAUUACAUGUAUAAUGUAGUUUGUGACACGAAUAAAGUUUAAUUCACAAAGAAAUUAUGGAAAUUUGCAUAUCUAUAAUCAACGACAUUAAUUAAUACGACAAUAUAUAUAAAUUAUCAUAUUAUAUGAUCAGUUAUAGAAUUUUGAUUUAUAUUUUUUUUAAUGAAAAUUUUUUGUUGUAGUGAGUAAUAAUUCUGGUUGUUCAAUGUUCAAGAAUUCUUGUUUAGGUAUUUCUUACUAUCGAAUGUUUAUUCAAAACCAUAUUAUUCAAAACCUGCUGGAAACCAAAGUAUCUAUAUAUAAGAAAGAUAAAGAAGAAAAAGCAGCCAAUUUAAUUAUUGUGCUUAACUGUGUGGAUUAACAAUGAGUGGUGCAUGUGGUCGCACAAUUGAGAGACUUGUAAGCCGAAAGAGAUGGGAAGACCAGUCAACCAAAUUGUCUGGUAUAAAUGUGGGUGGUCAACGUCAAGAUUGAGAGGAUAUAUCGAGGAAAAUCAUAUGGUUUUGAAGAUCUUGGGGUUGUGCAGUAAAUGGAGGCUGAUUGUAUAUAACAUUACUUUGCACAAACAUCAAACAUGGCUUCAUCAUUAUUUUCAUGUCUAGCACUCACGGUUUGGAGCUACCAAACCAGCACUCACGGGCCUAUCAAAAUUAAAUUAAAUAAAUACAUUUAUAAAAAUAAAUUAAAAAGAAGAAGCAGCAGCUUUGACCAGCAUGCAGUUCUGUUGGAAUUCUAUAUUAAAUUUAGCUGGGCAUUUUUGACAGACAAACAUCCAUGGAAUGUUUUUCUUUUACAAGCUUUGGCCUGUGAAGUAAACUGCCCUCUAUUAAUAUGGAAAUUCCCUUUUAGCUCUUACCUACCACUUUGCAUUAAAAAUUGGAUCCCUUUUUUCUUUUGGGGUCAAUAAAAAUUGGAUCCCUUUAACCUAAUGAAAGGGGUCGCGAGGAAAGUUUAAUUCCACUCCUCUCUCAUGCAAUUUGGGCAUGGUAUCAAAUGUUCCUAGUGUGCUUCUUUUAGGCGUGGAGGAUUUAAAUUUAAUCAUUUGAAAUGGUUGUGGAUUAGACAUGGAUGAGGUGUGACAGAUUUAUUAAUUGGUCUUUAAUUAUCACACUGCUGAAGUCAAAGGUCUACAGAAACAUAACCAUCAUCCCAUUAUGAUCUCUUUAAUAUUAUCCUUAAUAGGAUCAUAUGAGUAUUUGUUGUUGUGUGUGUUUAAUUUAGGAUCAUUUAUGUUGAGAGGGACGAUAGUAUAUUAAACUCACACACAUUACACAGAUACUGUAACUAGAACCCAAGACCUUUCUUGGAAGAACAAUUGUUCUAAAACACUACACUACUAGUGAGUUCUUUGCGUUGCUGUGUUUUUAUGUAUAGAAGCAAACAUAGCUAAGGAAAAUCCACCCGCAAAAUUUUGAAAGGGAUGACGAUCUCAAUGUUUUUUGUUUGUUUUUUUAAUUUGGGUUAAAAAAUGAUCCCCAUUAGAUGGAAAUAUAAAUUAAACAAAAGGAUCUUAUGACAUUAUAAUCCAAAAUAAAAGAAGAAUAACCUCAGGCUCUUGUAGUAUGAAAAUUUUCUCUUUUUUGAUUCCGUAGUAUGUCUUAUUGGACCAUACUUAACUUGAAAGUCAUUGACCCCAAAAACAAACUUGAAGGUUAAACUCUAAUAAACUACUAGUUUUAAUUUGAUUUGUGCCUCCACAGAAGAAAACAUUUCUAGUUUUAAUUUUAAUUCUAUUCAUAUAUGAAACUACUUCUAAAGUUCUAAAAACUACCAAAGAAAACUAAAAGUAGCAACACCACCCGCCUAGCUAGGAGGUUCUUGUAGGCAAGAAAAAGUCACUAGGUUAGAUUACUGCCAUAUAGUUAAUCAAAUAAUCAUGUCAUAAAAAUUAAGUAAAUUUAGGUUUUACUCAUAAAAAAACUUUCACUUUUGGAAAAAGCCAAAGCUUUUUUGAAAAAAGACGGAAUAACCUCUCAACUUUCAAACCAAAGACAUGCAAAUGUAAAGGAUUUAUUAGGAAAUCAAAAAAUAAAUAAGGGCAAUUUUGUCCAUUUUUGCUUCUUUUAAAAAUUUUCUCUCUCCUUUGGGCUUUUCCAAAAUCUCCCUAAAAAUUACAUGUAGAUGUUGUUAGGAUAAAAUAGCUCAUAUUUAUGAAAUCUUAUCACAUUACUUACACUAAUUUUAGAAUGGAGCUAUUCACGUUUUACCCUUACACACUCCUACACUUGUGCAGUGAGAAGUGUAGAAGUGUCCAAAAAAAACACCUAGAGAAAAAAUACACGUGAUAUAUGCACGUUGACACAGAACGUGAAAACGAAUUGAAAAAGCACGAAUUUACGGUACCCUAUUUUUAGACAUACACAACUCUUGAAUAAAUAAUAAAUAAAACUAAAUUUCAAAAUAAUAUUUUUAUGGUAUUAAAAAAAUUAAGUAAUUGAAGAAGAAAUACAAGUAACUCUUGGUGGAAAGCUUGGUUUAUAUCCAUGAAAAGUGGAACACAUAAAAGAGGGACAAGGCCGGCCCCGAUCGAGACAUACAAUACUUGGCUUUCUUAUCCACAGAAGUCCCCAUUAUUCAAUUUCCAUUAUGACUUUUCUAUGCUUAUUAUCAGCACCACUGACUAAGUGACCACCCCAACCUACCUUCACUAUGAAUUUAGGAUCACUCAUAAGAAUAAAUAUAAUAUAAAAUAAUAUGACCAAAAUUAAAAAAUAAAAAUUACCAAAAAAGAAAAGUAAAAAGACAUUUUCCCAUGGUCUGACGUGUACACAAAUACAGUAUAGUGACCGUAUAAAGAGCUGCGGUUAGGCGGAAGCUCUUCGCGCGUUUUAUCCACGUGGCGCGUGAGCUGUUGAAAUUCAACUAGUUCGGGAAAAGCAUACUAAACUUGGCGACAGCUUAGGAUAGGCGUAGAGAGAGAGAGAGAGAGAGAGAGAGAGAGAGAGAGAGAUUGAACAAAAAAAUAUAAAGGGAGAGCGAAGAGGAAAUUGAAAUGAAAGCAUUUUGGUAAAGCAAGAGAUAAAAGAAGGAAAGAAAAAUCCAAAAUCCAAUUUCUUUCCUGUAAAAGACUGCAAAUUUCCCAAAAGCUUAUUAGGGUUUCGAAGUUUCCACCUAUCCAAACAAGAAAAGCAUGGCGGGGAAUUUUCCGGGAAAGUGAGUUGUUGUGGGUUAUCUUUUUAGUUGCGAUUCUGUUUCAUUUUUAGACCGAGGGAAAGUUUCUGCUGCACCAGAAAGUCGUAGAGAGAGAGAGAGAGAGAGAGAGAGAGAGAGAGAGAGAGAGAGAGAGAGAGAGAGAAAUAUGAUAGUAGCGUCGUCGUCAUCAUCGUCGUCUUCAGCUACUGUGGCUGUCGACAAGGCGACGAGCGAUCUUCUGAUAAGCCCUGAUUGGACUAUGAACAUAGAUAUCUGUGAUUCCGUCAAUUCUCAUCAUUGGUAAUAUAUGUGCUUCAAAGCUUUUUGCUUUAUCUUGGUUUUGUUUUUUUCUUUUUGUUUUGGUUUUUUGAGUUGACUUUUGAUUUUCCGUCAGCUUAGGGUUUCUGAUUGACUGGAAAUUUAUUUGCUUUUGACAAUUAUCAGCUUGAUAUUAUCUGCCUAAUACCAGUAUCAGUUGUCGUUGUUUUUUUUUCCUUUUGUUUUUCGGUUGGAUUUGUAUGUAUGCAUGUGUGUAUGCCUGAGAGAGAGAAGAGUGAGUGAAGUAAAUGAUUUUCUAAUGAUAUACAUAUAUUAUUGUUGAAUUCUUUUAUAUGGCUUCUUUAUACAAUUUGAAAUUUCUGGAGCAUGUAUUGGAUUGAAAUAUCUCGAGUAUGUCAACUUUUUGGAUUGAUUAAUUAAUUCCAGAAACAGAUGAGGAUUUAGAAGUAGCGGAUAACACUCUUUCAAAACGAGAAUAUUUCUAUAGAUAUGUAGAUUUCUGGUGGAAAGAUUAAAUUAACACUUUGCCCUGUUCUAAUUUCCUCCCCUGUUUCUGGAUUUUUCCCCUUUUGGUACCUGAAACGUAGGCAGAUUUAUGUAUUAAUUUUUCUUUCUGUUCUUAAGAGCUGUGUUAUGUGGUAUUUUGUUGUAUUACAGUUAUAGUGUGUUUUGCGCUGUCCUUUUCUUUUCAUUCUAAAAGAAUUUGUUUGUGAUUGUUCAUUGAUGUGGACGUGUUAAAUUUAUCAGGCAGGCAAAAGAUGUCGUUAAAGCUGUAAAGAGACGUUUGCAGCAUAAGAGCUCCAAAGUUCAAUUUCUAGCCUUGACGGUAAUUUUGUACUGAAAUCCUUUUAUCUUCUUCACCUUCCAAUUUGAACCAUCUGCAUGCUUUUUUUAUAUUUAAAUGUCAGAUCUGGAAACGUUUCUUUACUUUCGGUUAAUUGUGUGCUAUACUUUCGUAGCUUUUGGAGACAAUGGUGAAGAACUGUGGUGAUUAUGUCCAUGUUCAAAUCGCAGAGAGAAAUAUACUAGGCGAGAUGGUCAAAAUUGUCAGAAAGAAGGUAAGUCUUGAAGAUGUAGUUGUCUGGCAGAGUUUUGUGAACUAUAAACCCAUUUUGGUUCUGUUUUAAUUUUUUUAAAGCUCAGUGUUUAGGUUAGUUUUAUUUUCAUCCAUCGCUGGAGCUGUUUUUUCAUUUCUUUUCAUCAAUGAUAGAUAGCUUGACUCUAUGGUGACCAGGUCAUGUAUUAAAAUAUAGUGUACUGGAAGUCUGAAACGUCUCUAGAAUAUCUAUUAGCAAGACAGAUGGGCUUUAAAUGGUUCUAAGGACUCUGUUUCAUUCACACUUCCUUUCAUGAUGGCGUUCUUUGAUGAAAUUUGUUGACCUGCUGAUUCUUUUAAACCUUGGACUCUGACCUGUACGGUUUCUUUGAGUGUGUGAUUCUGUAUAGUCUUGUAAGUACUUUUAUUUAGGGUGUGUGUGUUUGGUAUUAGUAUGAUUAGGCUCAAGUGGCCUGUUCAUAGUGGUUUUCAAGGCCUCCCUAUGUCUUAGAUAAAUUUGGGUGUUGUGAAUUUAAACACAAAGGAGUUUGAUGACGUGUUUGCAAUGUCCUAAUGUACUCUAGUCAUGCUUUUUUGACACUUGUUCUAUGCAUGACUUUUGUACUGUAUCUUUUUUUUUUCUUUUUUGGGUACUGUUUGUAUGUGGGAUACAUCAAAGCCUCUUCUCUUUGUUCAGCAUUAUUGGUCGCAGAACCUUCAUUUCCUAAGUGAUGAGCAUAUUCUUUUCAUUACUCUGACUAUUUGCCUCUAAUCCGUCUUGUUAGUUUUUCUUUCCUGUUCAGUAUUUCCCUUCCAUCUCACUUUAAAACGUAUAUAUGGAUGGAAUAUCAGGCAGAUAUGCAGGUAAGGGAAAAAAUCUUAAUAUUGCUGGACUGUUGGCAAGAGGCAUUUGGUGGACCUGGAGGAAAACAUCCUCAGUACUACUGGGCAUGCGAAGAACUAAGGGUAUAAGUUUAGCUAUCUGGUUCAGCUUUUUAUGUUUAAUGAUAAUGUGCUUCCAAGUUUGACAUUGACAAUUAAGGGGCAAUACCAAAUCAAGAUAGUGAAUAUAAUCAGGGACAUAUGUAGUGCAGUACCCCAAUGUAUUAGAACCUCUUAAGUGCAAUCUCAGAGAUGUCUUUGAUGGAUGCACUCCGUCUUUCUGCAGUUAUUUCUGUUUUGUAUGAAAGAGCAUGAUAAUUAAAAAAAAUGAAAAUUCUUCUGUAUUUGACUAGCUGAAGAGAUGUUAUUUAAUAACCAUGCACUGCAUGAAUGACAGCGUUCUGGAGUAGAAUUUCCCAAGCAUUCAUUAGAAGCACCUGCAAUUUUUACACCGCCUGUUACACAGACAACAUUGAGACAUGCUCAAGCAGGAUAUGGAAUGCCUAGCAAUUCCUCAAGAAGGCUUGAUGAAACGAUGGCUACAGAAAUGGAGAAUUUAAGGUGAGAGUUGGACUCUGUUGUCGAUUCCCUACUGGUUUCUACUGUUUAUCCGGUUCUUCAUUUCUUAGAGCUCUUGUUUAGGAUUGCUUUUAAACAUCCAUCUUCUGUUCAUUCCUCAGUCUGAUUUUUUUUUUUUCCUUUUAAUAAUCUUAGUUUGUCAAGCCUGGAUUCUAUGAGGAAUGUUAUGGAGCUUUUAAGUGACAUGCUGCAAGCUGUGAACCCUAGUGACCGUAUGGUAUGAGGAGCUAUUAAUAUUUUCAAUUUUUUCCUCUCAAUUGAUGGGUAAGAUAUUUACCUUUCGUUUCUGUGUUUUUAGGCCAUAAAAGAUGAGGUGAUAGUCGAUCUUGUCAACCGAUGUCGUGCCAACCAGAAAAAACUGAUGCAGAUGCUAACUACAACUGGGUUAGUCUCCCGCAAACAUCCUUUUGGCAGAACCCAGUGGUUUUGUGUGUUCUUCAUAUGAUGAAGAUCAUUACUCACUCAAGUGUUACGUUUCAUGUGCUGUUACUCCUAUAUAUUUUUUAUGUAGAAGUGAGUAUGUGUGCAAGCGCACGAGUGGUAAAUAUUUAACAUUACCUUUUUUGGUAACGUGCAGAGAUGAAGAACUUCUUGCUCGAGGUCUCGAUUUAAAUGAUGGUCUGCAAAGUUUGCUUGCAAAACAUGAUGCCAUUGUUUCUGGUUUGCCUGUGCCAACUCAAGCUACAAAUGUCAGUCCCCAGCCAACUGAAAAGUCUCUGUCCAGUUCCAAGCAGACUGAAGUAAAAGACUCCAGUGCAAGUGACUCUAGUCCAAAACCUAAUACUAAUCCGUCUGCACCAGUUGGUACCAUGACAAAGGUCCAGAUUUAUGAAGAUGAAGAAGAGGAAGAUGAAUUUGCACAGCUAGCUCGAAGGUUGCGUAUGACUGGCCAUCUUUCUUUGUUUUCUAUUUUCUUAUUCAUAGGUCAUAAAAAUGCAUUUCUUAUGCCAGCGCUUUCCACAACUGCCCAGUGGGGUGCAGUUUCAUCUCCCGGCCGAUUUUAAUUAAUUAGUAAUUACCAGUUUGUGAUUUACGGAUAACUGGCAUUACCAUUGGAUGUUGCAUAAAAGCACUUAUGGUAUACCCAGUAUCUGGCUUAAGCUCAUAAUUUGGUGAAAAAGUUCAUUCAUAGGUGUUGCACGUGUUUUAUGGAUGCAGGCAUAUUAAACCACGCGCAAUACCUCCUCAGAACACAUCUAGUGGCAGUGAUGAUGGUUUAGCGCUGGUGAGCACCAGCAGCACAAUAAAUCCAUCUUCCACAACAGCUACAUCUGUCCCAAGCAACGCAUUAGCUCUGCCUGAUCCACCAGCACAAGUUAAGACUACAAAAGAGCAGGAUAUGAUCGACCUAUUAAGUAUCACUUUAUCAACAACAGCUGCCUCCCCUGACACCACCCCUCAUGCCCCAGCAUCUAACCCUCAGGCUGCUCCAUCCAACGGCAACAUGCAUCAGGUACCUGUUUCCCCCAGUGUACAAGGGAAUCCCUAUCCUUCACAACCUUAUCCUGGAAAUCUUGGGAUGGCGUCCCAAAACAGCUAUGUUGUUCCGUGGGCACAACCUCAACCCCAACUCCAACAACAGUUCCGGCCACAAUUACAACCUCAAACACAGCCUCAAUUCCAGUCACAAUUUCAACCUCAAACACAGCCUCAAUUCCAGUCACAAUUUCAACCUCAAUACUCAUCUGGCUACCCCCCUCCACCAUGGGCAGCUACACCUGGUUAUUCUAACAACCAGAACCAUUUGUCCGCCAAUAAUAUGUUUUCAACUCCUCGGGCCAAUGCAACCACAUCUUAUAUGCCGGCACAAGGAGCUAGACCUCUGCAGCAUUUUAAUUCGUUUCCUGCGAGGGGAAUCAAUGGGUCAGAUAACAAUGGAGGUUUCCCAGUGAUCCCUGGUCCUAGGAGCCCUGCCCCUGCAGCAGGACAAAAGCCCUUUGUUCCCUCAUACCGAUUAUUUGAAGAUCUGAAUGUGUUUGGCAAUGCAGAUGGAAAGUUUAAGAUGACAAACAGCAACACGUCGUCUAGCUUGUCUGGGACUGCCGGCCAAGGUAUGGUGGGUGGGAGGAAGUGAAGUACUGGCCUACGAGUUUCAAACCGGGAUAUAAUAGCUAUAUAUGUGUAUAUCUUUGUAUAUCAGUAUCUGCAUCUUCUUCCAGUUUGGGAUGUACUCGAAGUUGGUUUAGAUUGAUACGCUCGUAGCUUAUCAGUUGUCAUUGAUCACCAAUUAUGUGUGUAGGGCUUCAGAAGAAUCAUUGCCUCUUAAAGACUUUGUAGCAUUUUGCUUCAUAAUCCGUGGAUUUUCAUUAUUGCGAAGU